GAGGGUGUCAGUCCGUUCCGUUAGGCUGGUGGCAGUGCGGGCGGCAGCGCGGGCGAGAAGAGGCCGCUGCCGCCCGCGCGCGGACGAGAGGCCGGCGCCGGGCGAUGGCGCUCGCUCCCGGCGAGAGCGGGCGGUAUCGCCUCGCGCCCGCCCGAGCGAGAGGCGGGCGAGAGGGAGGCGAGGCACUGGCGGGGCGAGAGCGACGUGGCGCGAUCUGAUUGGUCCACGUGUGCUAGCCGUUGCAACUAGCCGUUUUUGACCGUUUGGAGUCCAAAAAAUUCGAAAAAAAUUGCAAAAAAUCACAAGUGAAGAGGAGGAAGAUGAGGAUGAGAUCGAGGAGUCCGAUUAGAGUUAUGUAAUUUUAUUUUAAUUAUCAUGUCAUUUUAUUUUAAUUAUUAUGUACUUUGUAAUUUUUUAAUUCAAUAAAAAUAUUAUGUUGUGUUUUUCGGAGCGUUGAAAUAAAUCCGCGUGAAUUACUUAAUUCUGAAAUAGAAAAGCUGACGUGGCUAUAGCCUGAGGCUGUAGCCUGCUGCAGCCUGUGUACUGGAGCAGCAAGGACGAGAGUGGAGGCGAGAGCUGACGUGGCAGGGACGAGAGGGAGGUUGUGCACUGGACUCAGCCUUAGGCAGGCCUCAUUACCACGAACACAUUGAACAACAAACUGGGCUAUCGAGUUCCAUUUUCGUAUCAAAAGGCCCACUGUAUACUGACAAGAUAAAUGUGCAAAACAUAAGUACUCUAUCUAAAAGAAAAGUAGAAGAUGAAGUACAAUUCUAUUUAUACGAGCUCUUAUUGAAUUCUUAUCUCUUAAUAAGACUACAUAUACAUAUAAGAAAUCUGUGUUAUAAUUGCUAUUAUUUAGGAGGUGUUUGGUUUUUUAGGGUCUAAUUUUUAGUCUCUACGUUUUAUUCCAUUUUAGUUGAUAAAUUGUUAAAUACGUAAACUAAAACUCUUUUUUAGUUCCCGUAUUUACUAAUUUAGGAUGAAACAAAAUAGAGAGACUAAAAUAAGUUCGUAGACACCAAACACCUCAAUAAAGAACACAUAUUUAUUUAUAUAUACUGUACUUUUACCUACUAUGUUGAUUGUGAGAGACGCAUAGAAAAAAAAUCAUAGCCCAGUAUUAUUAGGAUACAUUCGUUUUAGUUUCAAUCUAUAUGGAUUAAAUGGGAUUGAGUGAAUUAAAAUUUAUAGCAAGUGAAAAUAUUUUCUAAUUUUUUCCUAAUUCCAUAGAAUACAAGAUAAGAAUAAGUGAAUACAGGGCCUUUAGCGGGCGGGCUCGGGCCUGGGCCGUUUCCGCGCACCUCGGGUUUAUGCAUCCUGAUGGCUGUCCGUAGAUGAGCGGGUAACGUCAAAGAACAGUAAAGGACAGUUCAUCGUUUGUGGUGGACGAAAAACACCGCAAGCCCGGAGUAAAAUAACAAAAGGUCAAAAAAUGGUUCGCUGCCGUGCGCGCCAGAGUGCCGCGCGGCACGCAGGUACAAGUCCCCGGUGGCUUACUCUUGACCGUUCCGUUAGCUGCGCUGUCGUGUCCCGACCGACCAUGCGUACCACCGGCACGAGUUCAAACCGUCCAGCCAACCACCAUAACUGCCCGGAAUUCGCCAUGGAGAGCGACGCGCGCGAAAAAAAAAAAAACCCACACCGGCCAUCGCCAUACGACACGGCACAUCGCGUUCGCGUUCUCUCCCACGCGACCGACGCGCGACGCCGACCACGGCGAGGUGUCCGCCCCCACGUCCAGCAGCGCACGUCGUAUCGGCUCGGCGCCCGGCCCGUCGGCCGCGCGGACGACGCCGCCUGUGUCAAUCUCGAUUCGUCGUGCGGGUCAGUGGUCACCCACCGCCACCGGCCACCGCCGAGCGGGGUGCACCGGGAAACUGCGAAAGAAAGAGACUGGCGUAAUUGCGUUAUCCAGAUAAGCCGGCGCGGCAUGUGCACGGUGCAUGCACGCGGCGGCACCGGGCCACGGCCCGGCGUUGAAGUCGGUUACGUACAGCAUGCCAGCGACCGAGGUGACUGGCGCUCAUUGGCGCCACUGAAUUAACAUUGCCCUGCCAUUAUCCGUUCCCAGCUGAUGACGACGCCAUGGAAAGCUCGCGGAAAACCUGUGCAAGUUCUUGGCUGACCGUUGAACGCCUUGAAUUGAUGUGCCGGUUAGGAGUAGUUUAUAUAUACAGUACUACAAACCUCAUCCAUACUUCCCAUAGACGAUACGAUAGGCCCAUACCGUACGUGCUUGCACGCGCGCUGACAGCCGAUCCAGCAUUACCCGAACAAUUCAAACUACUAUACUAUAAACGCGUUGCAUGUGUGCACAGUGUAAUUUUUAAGUGCAGAGCCAGCGGCUAUUCGUAAAUAAACUCGGAGCAGCAUACGAGUUGCGGAGGUCGUAGGCAUGGCCAUUGUUUAAUGCGAGCAUUUAUUUAAUAUAUUGAUUUUAAACAUAUUUUUAAAAACUACUAAUAUAUACACAUAAUAAUUAUUAGACUAAUUAAAACUUAUUUUUUUAUAAUAAACAUAUUUAGGUAUACUUACCGUACUGUUUUUUUAUAAAUCCAAUUAAAGUUGAAAUUGAUUGAUUACUAAAAGGAAAAUUUUGUUUUUUUUUAACAGAAGAAUAAAGUGAUUUGGCAAGGCGUCCAGACUCCACACUCCAGUGUCCACGAGUCCACGGGCCACGGCACCUUUGCCUACGACCAGCUCCGCCACCUCUGCAUGCGACAUGCUUGGUCAUUUCGCCUUAGCCUGACAAUGCUGUCUAAGUUUUUAUUGUUACUUAAAAAAUGAUGAUCGGUCUCUUUGCUGGUGGCGAAGAGCACGAUUACAAAAUAGCAGCUGCACAAAAGUGAACCAGAGGGAGAUAUAUGCUGAUGAGGCGUAGCAUUUUCACAGUGAAAAGUUGUGAGAAGCUAAACCGAAAAAACUAGCUGGUUGUUUCAGCUUCUGACUUUUCACGGUGACAAGUUAGCCGAGAAGCUCAAACAAAUAAGUUGUAAAGUAUAAUUUGGGUCAUUUUAAAAGGGAACCAAACAGACGCUAAUGUGUACUCGCGAGCUCUACCAAAGUGGUGGCCGUCGCUCCCUGCACCAUCAUCUAUAUAAGGUUUUAGUUUUGCUCUCAAUUCAUAUAAGGCCUUGUUCGGUUACAUGGGAUAUAAUUCCAUCAUGUAUUUAAUCCGGGUAUGGAUUGGGUGAAUUCAUAUCUCACACCCAAUCCCAUGGUGGGAUUAAAUCCAUCAACAAAUCUAUGUGACUUUCAAAGCUAGUUAUUCUUUUGAUCCAUAAAUUCUAAUGUAAACUUGUGCAAUAUCUCAUGGAUUUGUUCCAUACCUAAUAGGCUAUGGAUAGAAUCCAUGUCUUCCAUAGUUUAAAAAAUUCCCAAACCUUUGGGUUAUAUUCCAUGAUGGGUUUAACCGAAUAAAAAAAAUUAAGUAGUCAUGGAUUAUUUUGGGGCAUGGAUUGAGGCAUGGAUUUAAUUCCAAUUCAUGCUAAUCCAGAGCGGGAUUGGUGUAAACGAACAAAGCCUAAAUUGGAUGGGACUGAAUGAGGUUCAAUUCCAAACAAAUCAGAAUCUUUUAUAUUAUUUUCUAAUUACAUUCAAUCCACAUUAAAUAGAAAUAGUCUGGUUGCCUUACAUAUAACCAGUCUCACUUCAUUCAACAUGCACGCUCCCGCCGGCCAGGCUUAGCCAUGUAAGGUAGCAUGUCUGUUUGGUUGCAUACAUCAAAGUGUUGGAAAUAACAACAAUUUAGUGAUGAAUAAAAUAAUUUCGAUAAUAAUAAAAUGACUAUCAACAUGUUUCAUAAGCGUAUAACUCACUAAUAGUUUAUAAUCUAAUGCUAGUGUAUGAAGUGAAAGCAUCUAGGCCCCUGGUUGGUUUUAGUGAUUAAUGACAACGUAAUAUUAUAUGUGACUAACGUGUGUUUUGCAGAGACAAAUGGUAAGUUAGGUCACAUGACAGGUAAAAGCACUACAAUGUGAAAGCAAUCCCGGAGAUAAGAACUCGAAGCGACGGCUAAAACGACGGAACAAAAGGUGAAGGUCUACGGAGUCCGAGUGUCAAGGAGAUGUGGACACUCGCGAUUUAGUUAGGUCUUUUAUUCUCUUUUAGCCGUACUAUAAAGAGGGGUUGUCGAUGAGUAGUUUGACCAAGAGAGUUCUAGUGUAGUGUUGGUGCACAAUCACACUCAUACACAGUGCUAGGUGUCACUCUAGAACUCACAUACAAGUUAGAGCGAAAACCGAUUUGAAAAUCAGCUGAAAAACAAGACUUAGGGUUUCUGGCUUUGGGGCACCGGACUGUCCGGUGUGCACCGGACUGUCCGGUGCACCCUCUGCCAGGUGGGACCAGGCUGGUUCACAGCAGAGCCUUCCCAGUCGCAGAAACCCGAGAGCGCUGCCUUCGGAGAUGAAUUUUAGUGGCACACUGGACAUCGCACCGGACUGUCCGGUGUGCACCGGACAGUGGACUGUUCACUGUCCGGUGCGCCAUAAGUCCAACGGCUCUGUGUCAGAACUAGCCGUUGGAAGUGACCGUUGGCGCACCGGUGGCGCACCGUUGGCGCACCGGUGGCGCACCGGACUGUCCGGUGCGCCAUCGCGCAGCAAGUUUCCUGUAACGGCUAGUUGGUGGGUGAGGGCUAUUUAUACCCCUUCCACCCACCAUAUUCAAGGUCUUGCACUCCACAUUUAUUCCAGCACCUUGGUAGAGUAUUGCAAGCACCAAAAGCCUAGUGAGGAGAUUAGAGAAUCAUAAUCCGCGCUUGUUCCUCAUUAGCGCUAGUGAGAGCCACCUAGAGCACACACCACUUGCAUUAGGCUUCUCUUGGUCAAGCGAAAGUCUAUGGCUUGUUACUCUUGGUGAUCGGCAUCACCUAGACGGCUUGGUGGCGUUGGGAGCUCGGUGAUCACCGUGAAGAUCUUGUUGGUGACCCGACUCAAGUUUGUAAGCGGUCUCGAGGGAUCCACCGCGCCGGAGUGGCAAAGGAUCAUCUCGUAGUGAGCACUUGGUUCUUGCGAGGACCAAGGGGGAGCGAUACCCUUGCGCGGGUGCUCCAACGAGGACUAGUGGAGAGUGCCGACUCUUCGAUACCUCGGGAAAAAUUGGAGGAGUCUUCUAAACUUUGCUUUACAUUCCGCACUUAAUUCAAGCUAUUUACUUUGUGUAUUUGUUUAGCAAGUAUUUGAAGCAUUGUUUUAGCCUUGUUACAUUUCUAGUAUUAUUUUCUUAGUGCUAGUUGUUGGGGUGAAGUUGGGCUCUUGUUUAGCUCUUGCUUAGGUUUUAAUUAGUGUUGAUUUUUAGAAAAGCCCAAUUCACCCCCCCUCUUGGGCAUCGUGAUCCUUUCAAUUGGUAUCAGAGCCUUGUUGCUCAUAGAUUAGCUUAACCGCUAGAGUUACGAUGUCCGGUGGGGAUGGACCUCCUCCCGUUUUUGAUGGUGACGAUUUUCCUUAUUGGAAAAUUCGUAUGGAAGCAUACUUAGAGGCUAUAGACAUUGGUGUCUAUAAAGCCGCCACACAAGGGUUUCCCCAACCUAGAGAUCCCACAAAUCUUGUAGGUGAUGAGUUCAAUUAUGAGAAAUGGAAUGCGAAGGCCAAAAACACCCUUUUUAGAGGCCUUUGCAAAGAUGUGUUCAAUAGAGUUCGGAAUCAUAAAAAUGCUCAUGAUUUGUGGAUGGACAUUUGUGCUCUACACGAAGGAACUAGAAGUGAACGUGAGGAAAGAUAUCACAUAGCUAUGCGAAAGUUAAAUUCUUUUGAAAUGCUUGCUAAUGAAAAUGCAAACGCUAUGUACUCACGACUUAAUAUUCUUGUAGAGGAAGUCAAUGGAUUGGGGCUUACUCAAAUCUCACAACCGGAUGUUGUGAGGAAGAUUCUCAGUGUCCUCCCAAUAGACAAAUAUGGACACAUUGUCACUGUGCUACAUCAAAUGGAUCUUUCGGUUACCACACCUACACAAAUUUUGGGAAAGAUCAAUGCCCAUGAAAUGUACAUGCACAUCAACGACAAAGAAGAAUCAUCUUCCAAAAGAAAGGAUUUGGCCCUCAAAGCAAAUCAUGAAAGAAAAGGAAAAGCAAAAAUACAAGUUGAGGAAGAAUCCUCAAGUGAUGAUGACCUUGAUGCAAACAUUGCCUUGAUGGUAAGGAAGACCACCAAGAUGUUGAAGAAGCUAAAUAGAGAAGGCAUCAAAUUUGAUUCAAGGAAGAAGAAGUUCUUUUCCAACAAAAGAAAGCCCAUCUCUGAGAUGGACUGCUACAACUGUGGUGAGCUUGGUCAUCUUGCUCAUCAAUGCAACAAGCCCAAGAAGAACAAGUUCAAGGGCAAGAAAGAAGAUGACAGUGAUGAUGAAAAGAAGGAAAAGAAAUUCUUCAAGAGGAAGGAUGGGAAGCAAAAGAGGUUCCACAAGAAGAAGAAUGGAAAGGCCUAUAUUGUUGGUGACUGGCUCACCGACGUCGAAUCAUCAAGUGGAUCUUCCUCAAGUGAAGAAGAGGAUGAUGAAAAAGUUGCGGCCAUCGCCGGGGACUUCUCUUCACCACCACCAUCGCCAUCAUCCACUUCUCACCUGUGCCUUAUGGCUAAGGGUGAACGAAAGGUACAAAAUGAUAUUGAUGAUGAUAGUGAUAGUGAUAGUGAUGAAGAAUUUGCUUCACCUUCAUAUGAUGAGUUAGCUGACUUACUUAAAGAAUAUACUCAAAUCAUUAGAAAGUCAAAAGCUAAAUGUGAUAGGUUGAAAAAUGAAAAUGAAUCUUUAAAUGCCAAGUAUGACAUAGUUAUAAAGGCUAGUGAUGAAAUAAAAGAAGAAAAUAAAACUAUGUCAUCAACUGUAAAUGAGCUCACAAUCUCCCUAAAAGAUGCUAAGGAAAAAUAUGACAAAUUAAAUGAAGCUAAUAGGGAGUUGCAAAAUAGACUAGUUAAGAUCAAGGAAGACUAUACUCAAAUUAAAUUUGAUCAUGACAAUCUUCUUGUUGAAAAUGAACUUUUAUCUUGCAAAACACAUGAGGCUAUUAACCCUGUUGUUAAGCUUGAUGUAGCAACCUCAUGUGAUGAUUUGAUUCAAGAAGAGCAAACUAGUCUACAUGCUGAAUUGACUGAAAAAGUUGAAGUCCUGACUUUAGACAACCAAAAAUUGAAGAAUUAUUUGACUGAUGCAACUACUAGAGGAAAAGUUGCUAUUGAGAACAAUGAUUUCAACAAUGAGUUGGCAGUGGAUAAUCAAAGGCUUAAGAAUGAGGUCAAGAAACUAAAAAGUGAAAAUGAACAUCUUGCAACAAGUGUGCAAAAGUUCAACAAGGGUCAAUACCUCCAAAAUGAGCUGCUUAUGAACACUGUUAUGAAAAAUAACAAGAGUGGUAUUGGAUACAAUGCUUUUGUGCAAAAGAAAUCUAUCACUCAAUACAAGCCAAAGCAGACUCACAAGCCUAUCAAAUGCUUUGAGUGUGGAAAUGAAGGUCAUUUUGCCCACAACUGCAAAGCUAAACCACCAACUCCCUUGCCUAAGCACUCAAGACCAUUUGCUUUCAAUGCUCACUAUGUUCUAAGAAAGGUUGCAAAUGGAAAGAUUAAGGUUACAUUCCUAGGUCCACCAAAUAAGAGUAGACCUAGACAAAUCUGGGUGGCAAAGUCCUUAAUUGAGAGAGUCACUGGUCCUAUGCAAUAUAGGGCUCUCAAAACUCAAGCUUGAAUUGUCUGUGAAUGUAGGUGAACUACAAGACCGGUGGGAGCCAUUGGGUUAUUGACAGUGGAUGCACACAACAUAUGACAGGCAACCCACGGAUGUUCACCUCAUUAGAUGAGAAUGUUGAUGGUCAAGAUAAAAUCACAUUUGGAGACAACUCAAAAGGAAAAGUACAAGGACUUGGCAAGGUGGCAAUCUCAAAUGACUUAUCAAUAUCAAAUGUUCUCUUAGUUGCACCUUUGAGCUUCAAUUUAUUAUCAGUGGGACAACUCUGUGAUCUUGGACUUCAAUGCUUAUUCACUCCAUCAGAGGUUAUUGUAACAAAAAUGGAUGAUGAAUCAAUGGUAUUCAAGGGUUUUAGAUACAACAACCUCUACUUAGUGGAUUUCACUUCAGAAGAUGCAGACUUAAGAACUUGCCUCUUCACCAAAGCUUCUCUUGGAUGGCUUUGGCAUAGGAGGCUUGCACAUGUUGGGAUGAGCACACUCAAGAAGGUAUUAAAGAAAGAUAUGGUUAGAGGAUUAAAGGAUGUGGUAUUUGAAAAGGACAAGCCAUGCAGUGCAUGUCAAGCUGGAAAGCAGGUUGCUAAUACACAUCCCACUAAAGCUUUCAUGUCAACAUCAAGGCCACUGGAACUACUUCAUAUGGAUUUAUUUGGACCUACAAAUUAUGUCAGUGCCGGUGGCAACCUCUACUGUCUAGUGAUUGUUGAUGACUUCUCAAGAUACACUUGGGUGUUCUUUCUCCAUGACAAAUCUGAAGUUGCAUCUAUAUUCAAGAAGUUUGCCAAGAAAGCUCAAAAUGAAUUUGAUUGCAAGAUUAAGAAGAUUAGAAGUGACAAUGGCAAAGAAUUUGACAACACCAACAUUCAUGAGUACUGUGAUGAAAUUGGGAUCAAGCAUGAAGUAUCUGCCACAUAUACACCUCAACAAAAUGGAGUUGUUGAAAGGAAAAAUAGGACCUUGAUCACUCUUGCAAGAACAAUGAUUGAUGAGUAUAACACACCGGAGAGGUUUUGGGCCGAAGCUGUCAACACUGCUUGCUAUGCAUCAAACAGGCUAUUUCCUCACCGGCUACUUGCGAAGACUCCUUAUGAACUGCUAAAUGGGAAAAAGCCAGACGUCUCUUUCUUCCGGGUGUUUGGGUGCAAAUGCUACAUCUACAAAAAACGCCAUCAUUUAGGGAAGUUUCAAAGACGUUGUGAUAUUGGUUUUCUUUUGGGUUAUUCAUUAAAGUCCAAAGCAUAUCGAGUAUUCAACCAUGCCACUGGCGUGGUAGAAGAAACAUAUGAUGUGGAAUUUGAUGAGACUAAUGGCUCCCAAGGAGCACUUGAAAAUCUUGAUGAUGUAGGUGAUGAGCCACUUAGGGAAGCAAUGAAGAACAUGCCUAUUGGAGCUAUCAAACCAAAAGAAGAUGAAGAAGAGGUGCGAAUCAUUGACAGGCCUUCUUCAUCAAAUGUACCACAAGAUGAUGAAAAAGAUGAGAGGCAUGCAAAUGAAGAUACAUUUGUCUCUCAUGAACAAGCAAGGGUACAAGCCGAAGAUGUUGAUGCUCCAGGAUCUUCUUCCCAAGUGGUUAACAGGAGAAACUCAUCACUACUUCAAGCUCAUCCUCAAAACCAAAUCAUCGGGAGUCCUUCACAAGGGGUUAUUACUCGAUCACAUAGACAUGCUAAUUUUAUUGAACAUCACUCUUUUGUUUCUUGUGUUGAGCCUACUUGUAUAGAUGAGGCGCUACAGGAUCCGGACUGGGUGAAUGCCAUGCAUGAAGAACUUAACAACUUCACCCGUAACGAAGUUUGGACCCUGGAGAAACCCCCACAAGAUGCAAGAAUCAUUGGAACAAAGUGGGUGUUCAGAAACAAACAAGAUGAUCAAGGUGUGAUCGUAAGAAACAAGGCAAGACUUGUCGCAAAGGGAUUCUCUCAAGUUGAAGGCUUAGAUUUUGGAGAGACCUUUGCACCGGUUGCUCGACUGGAAGCCAUCUGUAUCCUACUUGCAUAUGCAUCAUGCUAUGAUAUAAAACUUUAUCAAAUGGAUGUAAAAAGUGCAUUUUUAAAUGGUUUCAUAAAUGAACUUGUAUAUGUUGAGCAACCGCCUGGAUUUGAAGACCCUAGAUAUCCUAACCAUGCUUACAGGUUGUCCAAGGCGCUAUAUGGGCUAAAGCAAGCUCCAAGGGCUUGGUAUGAGCGUCUUCGCGACUUCCUCAUCGAAAAGGGCUUCAAAAUCGGGACCGUCGACACAACUCUCUUCACAAAGAAACAUAACGGUGAUAUUUUCAUUUGUCAAGUAUAUGUUGAUGAUAUAAUCUUUGGCUCGACAAAUGACUGUCAUUGCAAGGAAUUUGGUGAGUUGAUGUCGAAGGAGUUCGAGAUGUCAAUGAUUGGUGAGCUAACAUACUUCCUCGGCUUUCAAGUCAAGCAAAUGAAAGAUGGUAACUUUCUCUCUCAAGAGAAGUAUACCAAAGACUUGUUGAAAAGAUUCAACAUGGAGAAAUGCAAACCAAUCAAGACCCCCAUGCCUACAAAUGGACAUCUCGACUUAGAUGAGGGAGGUAACCCGGUUAAUCAAACUCUCUACCGUUCUAUGAUUGGUAGUUUAUUAUACCUUACCGCAUCUAGGCCCGAUAUUAUGUUUAGUGUCUGCAUGUGUGCUAGAUUUCAAUCGAAUCCUAAGAAAGCUCAUCUUCGCGCUGUUAAGAGAAUUCUUAGGUAUCUCAAGCACACCACAAGCGUUGGUUUGUGGUAUCCCAAAGGAGCUACUUUUGAUUUAAUUGGCUAUUCCGAUUCGGAUUAUGCCGGUUGCAAGAUUGAUAGGAAAAGUACUUCUGGGGGAUGCCAUCUGCUUGGUAGAUCACUAGUUUCAUGGACAUCCAAAAAGCAAAAUAGUGUUGCCUUGUCAACUGCCGAAGCGGAAUACAUUGCCGCAGGUGCUUGUUGCACACAGAUUUUAUAUAUGAAACAAACUCUUCUAGACUAUGGUGUAGUUCUAGAAAAAGUACCUUUGUUGUGUGAUAAUGAGAGUGCUGUUAAAAUUGCUAAUAAUCCUGUACAACACUCUCGCACCAAGCACAUUGAUAUCCGUCAUCACUUCCUUAGAGAUCAUGUUGCUAAAGGAGAUAUUAUUUUAGAAGGAGUGAGGUCGGAAGAUCAAUUAGCGGAUAUUUUCACUAAGCCACUUGAUAAGACCCGCUUUUGCAUGUUGAGGAAUGAACUAAAUAUCCUUGAUCUCAGAAAUUUUAUGUGAAAUGUCAAAUGGUGUUGUCACUUGCAUUGCAUAUUUAAAUUCCUUGUAUUGCAUCUAGGGCUUGUCUAACCUAGUUGAGAUAACCGCCAAUAAAGCGAGUGAAAAAGCUUAACUCGGGUCAAACUUGACAAGUCUUAGUUUUAAGCUUUUAGCACUUAAAUUCUUACUUUCAAGCAAUUAUUGAUUCUUGAAAUAUGCAUGAGGUACUGCACUUAGGGGGAGUAUUCAAAACUCAAAUCACUCAUGAAAAACCCCUAGUGCAAACCAAAAUGCAAAUUUCACCAUUUGCCUAUUUUCUCUAAAAAUUAUCUAGCCUAUGGCAAAAUAUUUUAAAAAAAAAUUUAUGAGGGUGCCAAUACCUGUCCCAACAAGUGUUCUUUUGUGUGAUUAUAAGUUGGGAUUUGGUUUGGUUAGGAGUUAGAUAGAAAAAUUCAAAAUUUUCCAAACUCCCCUCUGUCUGGGCUCACCGGACAGUCCGGUGUGCACCGGACACUGCACUGUGCAAUGUCCGGUGCACCGGCAGCCGCGCGCUAAAAGUCUUUUUCCUGUGCGCUGUCCGGUGGUUCACCGGACAGCUACUGUGCGCUGUCCGGUGUGCACCGGACAGCCACUGUAGACUGUCCGGUGUGCCCAUCUCGCGUUUUAAAAAAUCGCCCCCAGCCCGACCGAGCCAGGGGCUCUGUCUCAUUCCUCUGCCAGCACCCGCGUCCUCAAGCCCUCUGGCGGUUCCCAGCGCCCGCCGUCGACCUCUUCACUCCGGCGGCCUCCAUCUCCGGCGGCCUCCAUCUCCGGCGACCUCGUCCUCCUCCUCUCCCCUCCUCGGUGAGCGGCUCUCCCUCCUUUCUUUCUCGGUUCUCCUCUGUUUUGGUGAGCAGAGCCUCCCACCUCUUCAAUUCGUGCAAUCUCUUCAAAUCAUUGUGAAAUUUUGUGACUCCUGCUGGUGGAAUGCAUUGCAUUAUCUCCAUUGUGUAUCCCUGCUAACUCUUAGCUCCUUCGGGAGGGCAUUCCCACCUCAAAUGGCCAUAUUCCUAAAACCCUAAAUCCCCGCCCACCAAGUGUUCGGUGAAAUGCCCAAACCAGCCAAACUUGCUCCAAUUGAACCCAAAUUUUUCAGGCACCUUCACCACACUUCCAGUAACCUACUUGCCAAAUUUCACGCCAAUCCGAGACCCCAGGCUUAAAUUUAACCAAAAUUCUCGUUUUGCACGAUCGUUUCCGAGCCGAGUGCCCAAAACCCUAUUUCUUCGCCUAAAUUCAAACCAAGCACACACUUCACUCAGAUUGACCUAUAUAAACCUAUUCGUGAAGUAUCGGCUCAAUCCCAUAUCGUUUUGUGCCUCAAUUUGAAUUUCAAUCAUCCUAUGUCUCUAUUUGUCUGUCAAACGUCGUUUUCACGGCAUUUGACUUAUCAAUCGUCCCGUCUCGUGCCAUAUCUUUUUGUGUAUGUAUUUAUUCACAUUUCAUAUGCUUAUGACUAUGUGACUAAUACGUGCUCACCUCUUCUGUCAUUUCAGUGACCUUGUGUGACCGUGUGCCGUCUCCCGUCCUGCCUGGAUCGUCACCUCUAGUGUGAGCUUUCCAGGUAGACAUCUCACUCUUUGCUAAAUCUAUCGGUCAUUUUUUUCUCUGUGCUUAGUCUCUCUAUCUCAUUUGCAGACUUUAGUCCAGGAUGCCGCGCACAAAGAAUGCGUCGGCAUCAGGGGGUGGCGACGAUGAGGACCCUCGUCGCCCCUUCAGGCAGGUGAAGGGCAAGACUGUGUAUCUGGAGCAGCAGGAAGGCCGCAAGAAGCGGCGUUCAGACAGAGAGGCUCGUGCAGCAGCAGCAGCUGCAGCAGCCGCUGCACAGGCAGCACUUGGAGAUCAGCCGGAUGUUCCAUCAGAUCAGAUUGCUUUCCGUGCUCGUCGUCUCGCCUCCCGGUCUCGCUCCUCCACUCACACCUCCGCUUCCACUCCGCCACCCACUCUGCCUGCUCCAGUCACUCCUAUUGCUCCAUCCACCUCCACCGCCAUACCCACUACCAGCACCACGCCAGCUUCCACUGCUUCCCCUGCCCCCGCUCCCGCUUCAGCUCCACCUGUCCCUCCACCUCGCUUCCGGGAGCGCGAUGAGACUGAGGUCCGUCCACUGGGUUCGGAUCCUCGUCUAUUUGAUCUUCAGCGUGCCACUGCAGCCCGGGUACGUCGGUUCAGGUACGUACCCGUGGAGUCUUGGCUGCCAGCUCAGAGAGACCCAGCAGCAGGAGUUCUUUUCAGCACUCGGAUUCAGGAGUCUUUCUUCAGGGCACAGAUGUCAGCUCAGAUUGCGCUACGUGUUCACCGCCUCUUAGAUCUUCCAGCCUUCUUGCUAGCAGCCGGUGCUGAGUCUGAGGCGCAUCUCACAUAUUUGCCAGGCCUUCUAUCCUUUCUGACUAUCAGCGGCAGAUAUGUUGAGGAGUGGGUCCGCGUCUUCUAUGCCUUUGUUUGGAUUGACCCGGAUCAUCAUUGGAUGAGGUUCCGCUUUGAGCGCGAGGAUGUCACAAUCACUGCCGAUCAGAUCCGACAGCUAUUUGGCUUCCCUGUGUCGACGACUCGCCUGCACAGUCUCUGCUAUGGCACUUCAGAUCCUCCACGUCGCCCUCACGGCGGUGUGGCUCCAGGGACAGCUCACGUCGCAGCUCUGUUCCGCCCGCCUUUCACAGAUGGGUCGCGACGUUCUCCCGCAGAUUUCACCACAGCAGCAAAGUACUUAUAUGAGCUUAUCAGACGGACUCUCCUGCCUCGGAUGGGAUACAGGGAGGCUACUACUCAUAUUCAGCUAUGGCUCCUUGGUGCCCUGGUAUCCCACUCUGAGUUUGAUGUUGUGGACUUUCUGAUCUGUGAGAUUGAGGACACUGUUCUGGAUGGGAUUCGUGCUCGACGACAGCUGCCCUAUGCUCACUACUUGUGCCACAUCUUUGCGCAGCUGAUCCAGCCACCUCGUUUUCAGAGUACCCUUGAGGCCUCCCGCCUUGUGUUUGGAUCUUACCGUCCUGCUCCUGAGAUUCCAGUGCCAGCUUAUGCUCCUAUGUUUGACACUCAGGCCGAGGAUGCCGCACUUCGACAGUUUGACACCCAGGGUGCAGCAGAUGAUGAUGAUGAUGAUGAUGAUGAUUUUGGGAUUCCUCCUCCACCUCCGCCUCCUAUGCCUCCACGCUCUCAUGAUCAUGAGGCUGGGAGCUCUAGUGCUGCCCCUGCUACCCCUCAGGCUAUGGACCCUGCUCUAGCUUCGAUUCUUCAGACUCUCACUCAGCAGCAGGCUCAGCUGGCAGCCGAGCAGGCCCGUAUGUCCGAGAGGAUGCUCUCAAUGUUUCAGACUAUGCAGGACAGGCAGGAUUCACUUCAGCAGCAGCUUAUUCAGGAUAGGGCAGAGAAUAGGGCAUUCAUGGCCCUCAUGCUUCAGCAUUCGGGUAUCUCAGCACCUCCAGUUCAGUCUGCUCCGCCUUCUUCGCUUUACGCUCCAGUAGUGCCUUCAAUCUUGUCUGCACCCCCUGCUGUUACCUCUCCGCUCCGGCCGGUCACCUUGGCGUUCACUUCUCCAGUUCUCAGCUCUGUCUGCCCGCAGCCGCCAGUGCCACCAGCAUCUGCUGUUACCACUACCGCUGUGGCAGUAUCUGUGACUGCUUCUGCUCCGGUAGCUCCUGCAGCGCUGCCUGCGUCCGAGUCAGUACCAGCUCCAGCUUCUACCACAGAUCCUGGAUCCGAGACUGACUCUGACCCUCCGUCGGCGUUUGCUCUGCUACCUCGACCUCGACCGGAUGCGCCCCCGCCGCCUCCUCCUGCUUCAGAUGUUUAGGUUCAGGUCCCUUUUGGUGUUUGACGCCAAAGGGGGAGAGAUAUGAGUUGUGAGAGCUAGGGGGAGUUAGAGAGUUAGUAGAGAGUCAGUGUCCUUUUGAUGUAAUAUUUGUGCCUGCUACUCUCUGUUCUAGCUUGAUGUUUUUUGGCUCACAAACUCGUCAUAUACUCUCGUUGCUUAUGGUUGACUAUGUGUAUUACGUUUUCACCUUAUAUCAUAUCACCAGUCUUCUAGUUCUUGUUUCAUUAAUUUACUUUUUCUUUUAUAUGAACAAGAAUCUUAUGAUGUGUAUGCGCUCACUCUUAUUAUUAUGGUACACAUUCUUUCUGUCAAAAAUUACUGAGUAUAACUAACCAUUCUUUCAAUUGACAGAAUCUUCAAAACAAACUACUCUCACAAAACUUGUAGGGUUGUCAUCAAUCACCAAAAAGGGGGAGAUUGAAAGCAUCUAGGCCCCUGGUUGGUUUUAGUGAUUAAUGACAACGUAAUAUUAUAUGUGACUAACGUGUGUUUUGCAGAGACAAAUGGUAAGUUAGGUCACAUGACAGGUAAAAGCACUACAAUGUGAAAGCAAUCCCGGAGAUAAGAACUCGAAGCGACGGCUAAAACGACGGAACAAAAGGUGAAGGUCUACGGAGUCCGAGUGUCAAGGAGAUGUGGACACUCGCGAUUUAGUUAGGUCUUUUAUUCUCUUUUAGCCGUACUAUAAAGAGGGGUUGUCGAUGAGUAGUUUGACCAAGAGAGUUCUAGUGUAGUGUUGGUGCACAAUCACACUCAUACACAGUGCUAGGUGUCACUCUAGAACUCACAUACAAGUUAGAGCGAAAACCGAUUUGAAAAUCAGCUGAAAAACAAGACUUAGGGUUUCUGGCUUUGGGGCACCGGACUGUCCGGUGUGCACCGGACUGUCCGGUGCACCCUCUGCCAGGUGGGACCAGGCUGGUUCACAGCAGAGCCUUCCCAGUCGCAGAAACCCGAGAGCGCUGCCUUCGGAGAUGAAUUUUAGUGGCACACCGGACAUCGCACCGGACUGUCCGGUGUGCACCGGACAGUGGACUGUUCACUGUCCGGUGCGCCAUAAGUCCAACGGCUCUGUGUCAGAACUAGCCGUUGGAAGUGACCGUUGGCGCACCGGUGGCGCACCGUUGGCGCACCGGUGGCGCACCGGACUGUCCGGUGCGCCAUCGCGCAGCAAGUUUCCUGUAACGGCUAGUUGGUGGGUGAGGGCUAUUUAUACCCCUUCCACCCACCAUAUUCAAGGUCUUGCACUCCACAUUUAUUCCAGCACCUUGGUAGAGUAUUGCAAGCACCAAAAGCCUAGUGAGGAGAUUAGAGAAUCAUAAUCCGCGCUUGUUCCUCAUUAGCGCUAGUGAGAGCCACCUAGAGCACACACCACUUGCAUUAGGCUUCUCUUGGUCAAGCGAAAGUCUAUGGCUUGUUACUCUUGGUGAUCGGCAUCACCUAGACGGCUUGGUGGCGUUGGGAGCUCGGUGAUCACCGUGAAGAUCUUGUUGGUGACCCGACUCAAGUUUGUAAGCGGUCUCGAGGGAUCCACCGCGCCGGAGUGGCAAAGGAUCAUCUCGUAGUGAGCACUUGGUUCUUGCGAGGACCAAGGGGGAGCGAUACCCUUGCGCGGGUGCUCCAACGAGGACUAGUGGAGAGUGCCGACUCUUCGAUACCUCGGGAAAAAUUGGAGGAGUCUUCUAAACUUUGCUUUACAUUCCGCACUUAAUUCAAGCUAUUUACUUUGUGUAUUUGUUUAGCAAGUAUUUGAAGCAUUGUUUUAGCCUUGUUACAUUUCUAGUAUUAUUUUCUUAGUGCUAGUUGUUGGGGUGAAGUUGGGCUCUUGUUUAGCUCUUGCUUAGGUUUUAAUUAGUGUUGAUUUUUAGAAAAGCCCAAUUCACCCCCCCUCUUGGGCAUCGUGAUCCUUUCAUGAAGGAUUACGAAAAUAAACAACAGAGAAAGUAUAGCUAUUCUCACAGCAGGAUUGUCGGUACUAGAAUAACACAAAAAGUAGUGGAAGCAGACCAGCGAGAACGACGACGUCGGCGUGGAAAAAGGAGACAAACGGCGAUCAGUCGUGAUGGCGCUUCUCAAAAACCUGAUACGUACCUCACCCCGUGCAGGGACACGAGAGGAUGUAGUCUUCGGAGAUCAUACUCUCACAACCCUAAUGGCACGUCGGCAGUGGGAUGGAGAAGACGAAGGCAGCACAACACGUUGGUGUGAGGGGGAGAAAUCUGUACUUGAGAGAUACGUCCUCAAUAUGUACACAUGACCCAGCAAAAACAAGCAAGUGAUCGGUCGACUGUAAUCACAACACUAAUGUGAUUGAUUCACAGUCAAUCAAGAUCAAUAACAAUUAAUGCGAGAAUAAUUGAUUGUCAAAACAACCCAACUCAUUUUUUCAUGUAUGCAAAAUAUCAAGUGGCAAAAGAAAGUCAUGCACCCGCAAGGUUGGAGCGAGAAUUUGCCGAACCAUUCACGUUUAUGUCAUGCGUCUACGCCCAUUGCCCCGCUAGAGCCCAGCGAGGCAAGCGAGCACGCAUGUGGAUUCUCCCUUUUUCUCUUCUCAAUGGCUUCAACCAUGUGGAGACAACUCAAUUAUUUAAGUUGGUCUUACUCCAUCUACAGUAGCGAGGUGGUACUAAAGUUCUCACCAUACCAUGCACUAGUAACUCGCACGCGCCCCGCGCGUGUUUUUUUGCAAUAUAAGUAGAAAAAAUCGCAAUAUAAGUGAUAACAUGGUGCUCUAAUGCUUGUAAGAUGCACAUUAAUUAAACUAUUCACAUAUAUUACAAAAGCUAGAACAAAGGCUAGUUCUGACUGUGUCAACAUCUGAAAUCAAGUUGUUAUAUUUAUAUAAAUUAUCUUCAAAAGGUUGAUGCAUCCAUACACCAUACAUAAUUACACAGAGCUUACAAAAUAAACACCCAGAACUUCAAAGAGUGUUGAUGGUAGAAGUCGACAUUCAGUUUUGGGAAUAUUUGUGGGUAGGUUCUUCUUGAAUGUGCACGGGUUCUUCCUUGAUCCUAUUGAUCAGUUAUGAAAAAACAGUGAGCUAUUAUAUAUAUUUUACUCAUGAAUUAAUUAGCUAGACGGUCUGUCUCAUGAGCUUUGUAUUUAAGUAUUUCCACGCGAGGGGCCAACCUACAGAGUCCAUUGGAAAAUAGGUUAGUAAGCGGUCAGCAAUGUCUGUAAAUAAUUCUGCAAAGGAAAAUGUAUGUGUUGAAAUGUAUCGAGGAAAUGAACUGUUGUACAUAUGAAUCAAUGAAAUGCAAAUAAAAUAGGGAUAUGGUAGACGUGGUAAUUAAACCUGAUGGUAGCUUGCAGAAUUGGAGUUGAACCUGAUUUGGUGCAUAUAAAGAGAAAUCUACUGAGUUAGUUGUUAUUAGUGGCAUUUCUCUAACACACCGGAAUCGGACUGUGCUAAGGUGUGGCCAACUGGCCACUCCUUUACUUGGCCAUGUUUGGUUUGAGGGACUAAAGAUUAGUCCUUCUAUUUUAGUCUCAUUUAUUAAUCCAGCAACACGGAUUCGAAGUCGGCAAGCGAUACUUAAUUAUGAAUAAAAUAAUAAUAUUAUUUAUAAGACUAAAUAAAUACUAUCAGAUUGAUUAUAAAAUAGUUUUUUAUAAUGAAUUAUUUUAGAGUCGUAAAUAUAAAUACCGUUUAUUAAAAUUUUAUUUAGUUAGACGUGGACUACUCAAACCCUUGCACAAUUUAUUUAUAAUAGUUGCACUCGGCGAUAGAGGGAGUAGCAUUUCUGUCACGGCAAAAGCUUGGGAAUAUACUAGUAUCAAGAAACAUCUAGGAGCAUGAAGCUGCGCACCUGGUCCACGUGUCAGCUUACGAACUGAGAGGACGGUAUGGUAGCCCCGGGCGAGGCACACGUGAGCUCUCGUCGAGACGAUGCCGGUAGCCUCGUGUGGGUCGCCGGCUGCAAAUGCGCAGCAAGUGUUCCACGCCCCAGUCCCAGAGAGCAGUGCACAUUUCGUUUCGUUGGACCCCAGCACCCAGGACCAGGAGACCUAAUGGUUCCGGAACCAUCGUGGCCUCUCGUCCCAGUUCCGCCCUUCCGGUGAGAACUCGAGGGAGCAGCGAUGUGAGGUCACGAGAGCGCCGUGAGAACUCGGAACUCGUCUGGGCGGUCUAGACUCCACGCAGCGUAUAGACGACGUGGCCCAUUGUGAGGAUAUGACUGCAAGUCUGCAGAAGCCUUGGGAGUCCACUCUUGAGCCGCGAUCCAGCACGUCGUUCUUGAGUUGAGCAUGAACGUACUGCUUCCCGGAGCUAGUUCGCGGCUGUUAAAACUAUACGUUCCGGUGCUAGAACUAUAAAUCUGUGUUUUUUUAAAGGAAAUGACAAUCAAAGAUAGAAAUUUUGUCUUAGUAUUAAAUUAAUAAGGUAUUUAUGAGAGAGAGAGAGAGAAAACAGAGAGUAGGAAGGAUAGUAGAUGAGGGAAAAAAGGAUAUUCUCAUACAGGUAUGGAAUCAUUUGAUUGCCGUGAUCCCGUCACUAAUUUGUUUCCCGUUUUGAAGCUCAGAUGUCAUUGAGAUCUAAGGUGGAACGUCUCUUCGUCUCUUGCAAUGGGACGUGGACUUUGGUCCACCGACAGGGGGAAUAUAUUAUAUGUAAUAUAGUAAUCAAAUGCACAACCCCCCGGGUAAAAAGGGUUUAUCCAUUGCCUUCCCCUUUAUCGCAUUAAAUCUCGAUUCGACUAGUCCCAGUACGAAUAUGCAAGUAAAACCAGGAUCCCGCGAGGAAAACGAAAGUAAAAGCAAGAUCACCGGAUUGGAUAAUUAGUUUCUUAAUCAGGCGCCAAUUAGCGAGCGGAAAUUGCGACCAUAAAUAUAAAUAAACGAGGUGGCAGGGCCCGCCACUACAGAGAGAGCGUAGAGACAUGUUAUCUCCUCACUUCUCGGGCCUUCCUCCUGGAAUUCCCCAAACUGCCCCACCGAGAAACUUCCGUCCACGGCGUCCGGGCCGUCCGAUCUGUCUACGCCGCGACACGUGCGCCUCAGAUGGAAGAGCGGCCGUGCCCAGCGACCGACGCAACCGGGGACCAUUCCGCCCUCCGGCUAUCUAUUUAACUCGUCGCCAACCCAGGGCGGAAACCCCAAUCGCAAGCUCAAGCAAAAACACAAAGCGCUUAAACCACACUCAAACCAACCGCCAACAAACAGGCCUCCUAGUCCCGACCAGAACUUGCUCGUAGCCCCGCCCCCGAGAACCCGACAGCGCGAGAUGGCUCCCGAGCUGAUGACAGCCAAGAUGACCGCCAAGGCCGCGGCGGCGGCGGCGGCGGUGAAGCCUGCCACGAGGGCGUACGUGACGUUCCUUGCGGGCGACGGCGACUACUGGAAGGGCGUGGUGGGGCUGGCCAAGGGCCUGCGCAAGGUCCGCUCGGCCUACCCCCUGGUGGUGGCGGUGCUGCCCGACGUGCCCGAGUCCCACCGCCGCAUCCUCGUCUCGCAGGGCUGCGUCGUCCGCGAGAUCGAGCCCGUGUACCCGCCUGAGAACCAGACGCAGUUCGCCAUGGCGUACUACGUCAUCAACUACUCCAAGCUCCGCAUCUGGGAGGUACGUACGUACUGUGUGUGUGUGUGUGUUUUUUGUUUACUUUUUAGCCUUUUCUUUUGCCCAUAAUUGUUCUGUAGCAGUGCUCACGUCACGUGUCGAUUCGUGCAGUUCGUGGAGUACGAGAGGAUGGUGUACCUGGACGCGGACAUCCAGGUGUUCGAGAACAUCGACGGCCUGUUCGAGCUCGAGAAGGGGUACUUCUACGCGGUGAUGGACUGCUUCUGCGAGAAGACGUGGAGCCACACCCCGCAGUACAGGAUCGGCUACUGCCAGCAGUGCCCGGACAAGGUGGCGUGGCCAGCGGCGACCGCCGAGCUGGGCCCUCCGCCGUCGCUCUACUUCAACGCCGGCAUGUUCGUGCACGAGCCCAGCGUGGCCACCGCCAAGGCGCUCCUCGACACCCUCCGCGUGACUCCGCCCACCCCCUUCGCAGAGCAGGUGAGCGGUGUGAUCCAUGCGUGGCGUGCGUGCGUGCGUGCUCACUCUUCUUAAUUGGCACAGCAUACAGCAUGUGUGCUCACUCAUCUCGAUCGAAUUCCUCCCCCCGCAGGACUUCCUGAACAUGUUCUUCAGGGAUCAGUACAGGCCGAUCCCCAACGUGUACAACCUCGUGCUGGCCAUGCUCUGGAGGCACCCCGAGAACGUGCAGCUGGAGAAGGUGAAGGUCGUGCACUACUGCGCGGCGGGGUCCAAGCCGUGGAGGUUCACGGGCAAGGAGGCGAACAUGGACAGGGAGGACAUCAACGCCCUGGUGAACAAGUGGUGGGACAUCUACAACGACGAGACGCUGGACUUGAAGGGCCUGCCCUCGCUCUCGCCCGACGACGACGACGAGGUGGAGGCGGUGGCCAAGAAGCCGCUUCGCGCGGCCCUGGCGGAGGCCGGCACGGUCAAGUACGUCACCGCGCCCUCGGCCGCGUGAUCCCGUGCUCUGGCCUUCCCCCACCGCGCACCGUACCGGUGGCCGCGCGCUAUAGCUUGUGUGUGUGUGGCCAUCGCGGAACAUAAGAAGAAUCUCUCACUAUAAAGGCCUUCGUUCUGUGUUUGCAUUUUGGUUUUGGAUUAGGGUGUCUAAUUUUUCACCAGUUCCUUUUCCCCUUGUGUAAGUGUGGAGCUUACUAUAUAGCUAGCGCCCAUUUCAAGGUGCUGCAAGCGUUGGUCAGGAAUUGGGCUAGAGUGUUUGUCCUGUACCGAGGGAUUAUGUGUAUUUUUGCUAUUUCGCUCGGUAAAUUAAUACAAUAAUAAAAAAUAGGGAGCCGCAAAAUUAUGGCCAUAUUUCUGUCGGGUUCGGUGUCACUCGCAUUACUGGUGGGUGAUGUUACACUGUCUUUUUCAUGUUUUUUUUUGUCCCCCCCAGGCCCCAGAUUUCUUUUUGGACUUCCUUUUCCUUCGGUUUUAAGGUGGGGCUCUUGGCUGUUGUCAUUUCUUUUUCCGGCUCGCUCUUGAGAGUACACUACAGUACCCUGACGUUCCCGCACAGUGUUCACACAUUGCGCUGCGAUGCUUCUGAUUUGGAGGGUGACGUGGGAUUGGUAAGGGCGUCCGGAUACUGGAAAAUCCACCGGGAUGCGGAUGACAUGGCUCAAAUCUUGCACGGAUCUCAAGGCUGAGGCCUGGCCUCACCGAACAAUCAAAAUCACGAAAAUAGAGUGCUGCUGUUGUCGAUUUGUCGUGGUCUCUACGCUCCACCACAACACUUCAACAGCGUCUGGCAGCAAGCCCCUCACCUCUCACGGGAGAGAGAAAGAGAGCUCCCGGCCGGCGCGACCAGCGGUGGUCCAAAGAUCUAGCAGCGACGUACGGAGAACCUUGACGCGAGGUAUCAGCGAUCAGCGAGGCAGGUGUGGAAUCAGAGACAAGUGAUCGGGAACGGUAGAAUCGGGCGGAAUCAGGGAGCAACGAGGGUGGAAGGAAGAGAGAGCGAUGGGGACGGGUAUGUGCCUGCCGAGCGGAGGAAGAGAUUUCCUCUUUAUUUUCACGAUGGGCAUGGACGUCAGUCUCACCUUAAUGCCGAGAGCGGCUGUAAUACUAUGGUCGUUUUUUUCUCGGUACGAUUGACAAACCAUAGCCCAUAGAAAACUGCAAGUUGAUGUUUGGUUUGCGGAAAUAUAUGUUUUGUUUGCCGAAGUAUAACGCAAACGGAUUAUAUAAGAUAAUGGAUAUUGAUAAUUUUAUUUGGUUAAGCUCUUUUUAGCAGUACUAGGUACUACUCACUCCAUUUUUUUAUUUCUCGUGGUUUAAUUUAAAAAUAAACUAGCGGAUGACAAAUAUUCAAUAAUGGAGAUCAUACUAUCCAAUCUAAUUAUAACUAGUAAUCAUUACUGUCGGUAAAAGAUCUCAUUAUCAUUCUUUUAACAAUGUCUUAACCAAACAACACCUAAGAUCAAAUGUCCUUGUAGAACACCAUCUAGAUAUUCGAUAUUGUAUUUUCCAAUGUUGUUUCAAUUCAUAUUAUUAAAUAUCUAUGCAUCAUCACAAAAUUGAUCAAUGAAAAAAACAUAUAGGGAUUAGAGAGGUGGUAAUGGGUUCUAAUUUUUACACUAUAAAAUGUAAGAAUCAAAUUGAAUUGGGAUGGGACUAUUUCCAUUUAUUUAAAGUAAAAUUUAUUUAGUGUUCUAAUUUUUUGUGAGAAAUAUUUAGAUCGUGAUCUAUUACCAUCUCUAUAUAGGCCCUAGUAUCUAUAUGACCCUUGUGGGCCCGAGAGGGAACCAAAUAUACGACCUUCCUCAAGACACGCGAGCCCUAGUGACAUAUUAUGUCCGAGGUUUUAUCCAUUUGGUGCUCUAUGGCUUAAGAGGUCCUAAGAGCUUAUCGGGGACAUGCAAAGUCGAGAGACAUAAAUGUCAAAUGUAGCGAUACACGAGGACCCUUGAGUCCAUACACGGAUCUAGCUGUAGGACGGGUGGCCCCCUACCACUUCUAAGAGCAUCUCCAAGAGAGGCUCUAAACAUGGUCUUAUUUUAAAUAUAUGGCUCAAAACCAUAAAACAUUCUUCCAACAGCGGCUCUAUUUUAUAAAAUUUCAUCAAAUGGUUAUAGGGCUCGGUCUCUCGGGUCCUAAAUAUAGUACCCAUAUACUGGAGCCCUAUCCUCAUUUUCACUUAAUCUCUAACCAUUUAUUUCCUAAUAUCAUGGUUUAUUUCCUAAAUAGCAUUAUUUAAGGCCUGACUAUUGGAGUAAACAUUUUUUUUUGAGACCCUAAACAUUCUAAAUAUGGUCUUAUUUCAAAUUUUAGGACUCUAUUUUAGGGUUUGUUGUUGGAGAUGCUCUAAGUCCAUAGAACCUCAUUAGAGUUCAUCCUAAAUUUUGAAAUGUAUAUUGUGGAUAACUUAGUAAGAUUAUACAAUUGCUUUAAUUUAGUCCUUUCUAAAUUAUUUUUGUCUCCGUCCAGUCCUAAUCCACUAGGUGGCCCCAGAGAGCUUGAGUAGCCAAAACAGUCUCAGCUUAAAAAGCCUUUGCCAGCUUGAUCCAGUAAACAUCCAAGAAUAUUUUUCUCCAAUAAAUGACGCUACAGCACGUGCAGUUAACUAACUGUAAGAAAUCCAGCUAUGUAUGGACCUAAACCACCUGAACUGCUAACUUGGGAGAAGAAAUUUUGGACUUGUAUAUACAUGUUCAUUUACUUUAGAAUGGCAACAAAAAUAAUUCUGAUGCGACAUUAAGAUUCAGUCAGCUUCUAUUUUGAUCGUUAUCUUUGUAGUCAUCUCAAUUGUACCAGUCUGUAGUGGCUGCAAUCGACGUCACUGGAGAUCAAAUAAGCACAUCGCACGUGUAUAUCCACACUCCGGCCGGUUCCCUGGCAACUUGGUAAACCGAUCCCUCGGUCAAACGUCACUUAAUUCAAAUCGAGUGUCUAUAAUGCACCACCGGCCGGUGUACGUGCAGUGUACCAGUGUCGUGGCGCUCGUGCUGUCAGGUCGUCGUUUGUCUCCUUCCCCUGUGCUGCCGCGUACGCGUCCGGCAGGCAAAGACAAGCCCCGUAUAUUCAAAAUCGAGCAGCCAGUGCAGCACACAACCCCCGUCGCCAUACAGAAACAAGGACAGUGACUUUUUCUGGUGCCUUGGUGGAACGGGAAGAUCGAUUCAUCAAUAGCACAGGCACGUACGUAAGCAAACGCAAAGCAGAAGAUGACAAGAGUAGUAGUAGCAGUAGGCAGCAGAGGCGCUAGCUGCCCGCUCGGAGUGGGGGAGCAACUGAGUCACUGUGACCGUCCAUGUAUGUCAGGCCGUGUCUAAGAUUUCAGGGACUAAAGCUUAUCUAGAGACCCGUUUAACCCAUCUAUAUAAUAACUAUAUAUGCAUUGUAUAAUUAUACAUACACAUUUCGAGGGCUCAAAUGACAAUUACAAUUGGCUAGCUAUAGUAUGCGCGUACAUGCGAAGAUCGAUCAUCCACGACGUGUUUCGUUGUUUGUAGUCUUGUCCGGUCCUUUAACGACGUAGGUUGUAGAGGCCGAACUGCUCACUUAGUAUGGGACAGCUGGGCAACCAAACGAACACUGAUUGGCUAAAUUAAAUAAGUGUUUAAAUACAUUAAAGCUAAUAUUUAACAACUAAAAUUAGCUAAAGGCAUUCAAAUAGUUUAAUUAUAGUUUAACUAUUAACUACUCUUAACAAAUUAGAUAAUAGUUAGCUAACUAAUUUCAUUAGUAAAUUUUUAGCCAACUAGUUAUUUCAACAUCCACUAAAUAACUAAUGUUACAUUUAAAUAUUACUAGUCGAUUGCCCGUGCGUUGCGACGGCUUACAACAAUACCUAUGUAAACUAUCCACCAAAAAAAUUCAAGAUUUUUUAUUUAUUGUCUCCGCUUACCGUAUAAUAUUUUUUAAUUUAGCUAACUGGUGUUAUUAUUUACUCUAUCCAAUAUGUCUUGGUACAACACGAUCAAUAAAGUGAGCGAUUAGAAGAGAGUUCACAAUAACAGACUGAACGAAUAGAGAUUAUAAAUGACAUAAUUCCACCAUACAGAGACCAAAUAAGAGAAAGUUUGUGAGCUCAAGUUUUUAAAAUAAGUUACAUUAACUCAAACUUAUAAAAAUGAUAGAUCAAAAUAUGGAGUGAUUGCUAAAGUUAGACAUCAAUAAAAACUGGAUGCGCUCCAUAUAAAUUAUGCUAUUUCGUUGCAAUUACUAACGUUUAAAAGCAACAAAUAACCUUUCAUUUUACCGUUAGUGUGACAAAUCAUUGUUGCUACAUCUAAUUCAGCAAUCUCAAACACCAUGAAGUCCAUUGCGCCAAUGUGGUAUCAGAAACUACAUAAUGCUUGCAAGAGCCAAGAACGUCGUGCCGUGCUGGGGUUGUAGCCUUGGCCCGUAGUGCUGGUCCGACCCGACACGAUUAUAUAUUUUUUUAUUUUACAAAAAAAUAUAUACAUAUAUAUAAUUUAUAUUCAAUAUUAAAAACAUUUGAGCAUGAUGUUCUACUGGUUAGACAACUUUACUUAGUGUCUCCCGCCCUUCUUCCAUUAAGGAUAUGGGUUCGAACCCUAUCUCCUACACCAUUUUGUAAUAUUUUACGCUGAUUUAAUCAAAUGGGCCGACGGGCUGGCCCGACACAGUCAGCAGGCCACAUGACGUGCCUGGGCCAGAGUUAUGGCCUGCGGGGCGUCUAGCCCAUGUCGGAUCGCCGUUUAGUUAUUAGGUGUGCAGCGGAUUAAUUUGAAAUAGCUGUGAGAGGUUAUUUGUAAAAAGACACGUGACGGCCGUUGAAACUGGUGCUUUAAAUAUAGUAUAGAUAUACUUGACGGCUCUGGGCGGGCCACAGUUACGACCCUGGUCGCAUGUCGGACAAGCUGCCGCGGAAGCUGGGUGGUCGUGGCGGGAUGACACGCCGUAUCGCGCCACCUGGGCGCCACGCGCGGACGCGCGCCCAUUUGCGCGCAAGCACGCGGCCUUGCGAUGGCCAUGCACGGGGGCGGCGUGCACCUGAUUGGAUAACUACCAGGAUACUACCUGAUACCGUGACUUGCGACUUCCGAUGGGCGAUAGGCGAUGGCUGCCGUAGGUUUUAAUAUAUAAAUUGAUUAUGAAAAGAAAAAAGAACGCAGGGAGAUAUGUCGAUCAGUGGAUCCAUAUCAGGAUAUUUUGUCAUUCCUCUCCAUCGUUUAGGCCUAAUCAGCUUAUGUGCCAUCGGUAAUAGUGCUCAGAGAAUAACACCUGACCCUACAUCACUAAAUGCUUUUGCAGGAGACGGUGAUCGAAUAUACUAAGUUACCAACCGACAUGCUAACCACUUCGUGCUAAUAUUCGCGACACGUUUUUUCUUAAACAAGCUAGCCAGUGUCCCAGUGAUGUAGAUAUUGUGGUGCAGUUGAGAGAAGCCAAUCGUAAUUGGUGUCAGACAGAGAAAGAUGCAAUUGUACUUGGUGUCAGACAGAGAAUGAUGCAAAUCCAGAUAUGAUCAGGUAACUUAUUUUGAAGGUUGGAUGGAUCAGUUAAUUAAUUGACCUUCGUUGCCCACAUGUUUCCAAACCUACCUGGCUAGUGCCUACCUACCCGUGCUUCGUUUUGCUCCAUUUGGUGCCGCUGUCUGCCCGGUUCCAAGCUAAUAAGUUAUUAGCUGUUUUAGUUGGAUUGAGACAGUUUGAGAGACAUAACUAGCAGUUAGCCGAUACAUUAGCUAAUCCGUUCUAAACCUUUUAACUAAGGUUCUAUUUGGAUCCUCGCGACUAAUUGUUUGCCCGUGGCUGGCGAAUAAUUAGCUAGCAACAAUUCGUCAGGAUAUGUUUGAGUCUUGGCUAAUAGAUAUUUUUUCUCUUUACACCAUCUAUUAUCACCUAUUAGCAAGGUUAAAUGGCUAAUAAGCAAACAGUGGGUUUGAAGGCCAAUGUACUAAAAUUAGUCGGUAAACUGGUUGCCACACGAAUCCAACACAGAGGCUAAGAGCAUCUUCAAGAGACUAGUUAAAUAACUCGUCAAGUCGAAUUUUGACUACUCAAUAGCAAAAUAACUCUUCAACAGACUAGCUAUCUGACUCGCCAAAUUGGCUCUCUCACUAGCUAAAUCUAGCUAUACACUUGACUAGCAAAACUAGAUAGAUAGUCUAUUGGAGUAAUUAAGAUGUUAUGUAUAGAGUGUAAUCUUUAUAAAAAGUUAAAUAAAUAGUUAAAUAGAGAGGAAAAAAUGAAGAAUCUAUUGGUUUUAGAGAUUUGGAGCCGAAACUUAUUUUCUACUCUAUGGUUCAGCAGCAUACUCCUCUGUCGGUCUGUCCAGUCACGUAGGCGUCUGCUAUCCUCUGUUCAAUACGGAGCCACGUCUCGCAAAGGGCCAUUCACCAAACGCGGCCCAACUACCACGCCUCGGCGGACUGGAUGCAAGUCGGGCUUCCACCCUUCACGCGCGCUUGGCCCGCUACGACGCUUCGUCUUCGUCUGUCCACCAACCAGACCAACCUCCGGCCACGGGCUCACGGCGGCGAGCGGCCCCAGCUCCGAUGGCGCCAACGGUUGAGAUCAGCCACCUCACCUUCACCUACCCCGGCAUCGACGGCCGCCCGCCACCCGGCGCGCCACCGCUCAUCGAGGACGUCUGCUUCUCCCUCGACGCCGGCCAACGAUGCCUCCUCCUCGGCUCCAACGGCGCAGGUCACCCGCCUCUCCACCUGCUUCGUUUCUCUCGGUUGUGUCUCGGUGUUGAUUUAGCGCGGCGGCGGCUUCGUUUUCCCAUGCGAUAGGCAAGACGACGAUACUGAAGAUACUAGGCGGGAAGCACAUGGUGGAUCCGAGCAUGGUGCGGGUCCUGGGAAGGUCCGCCUUCCACGACACGGCACUCACCUCCUCCGGCGACCUCUCCUAUCUCGGCGGUGAGGUGAGACAGCGAUCUGAGAGUUCCUUUGUUCGGUCUCUGAAAUGUAAUGAGCAUGCCCAAUUUUGCCGUCGGAUCUAAUUUGUGUUAACUGUGGUGCAGUGGAGACGCGACGUGGCCUUUGCUGGCUACCAGGUGAACAUUCAGAUGGAUAUAUCGGCAGAGAAGAUGAUUUUUGGUAUUGCUGGUGUUGAUCCAAAGAGGAGAGACGAGCUUAUCAAGGCAGGUUAACUCUCAAAACCUGCAAAAUUUUCAUGACAUGUGCCCAUUAUUUUCAUGGAGCAGCAUGCCUGUACGUUUUCAGAUACAAGUUUUUAGGGAACUGCACUUCUAGAUUGCUAAUCGAUCACACAGUUUUAUCAUAGUACUCCAUCCCAAAAUAUUAGUCGUUGUAGUUCUUGAUUUUUAUGUCUAUUCAAAUAGAUGAUGAUGAAUCUAGACACAUAUGGAACACAUACAUUAAUUAUUGUAUGAAUUCAUUAAAAAGGUAAAACAAAUUUUAAUUUGGGAUGGAGGGAGUACAUAUUAAUUCUAGUUAUUGACCAUCUCAUUCUCCAAUGGGUUAUAUGUUUAUGCAGUCUAAAAUGUUUAGUAUGUACAAUGGUUAUUUGCUGUGAGAUUCCCUUUCUAUUAUUUUGGAUCCAGUGCUUCCACAAAUGUUUCCCCUUUGGGAAUCCCUUUUUUCUCGGGCCAGAAUAUGGUCACAUUUUUUCACUGGGCGUCACCAACGGGAAACAAUAUUAUUCGGGCUUGUUUGGAUGUGCUAACAGAGAAGGGCUAAUUGGGUGUUUGGCUAGAAUUUGAAAGCAGGAAGAAUUGGGUAUAAUGCCUGAAUGUAUUGUGUUGAACCCUUGAGCUGUAUAAGGGCUUGUUUGGUUCAUGACCACAACUAGCCAUACUACAGGCUAGUCGGGCCACAGUUUUUAAUGUAUUUCUUUGGUUCGCUGCCACAAAUAUGACGCACCACACUUUCUUCACAUGUCAGACUCAUUUUCUUGUCACAUGUCUGGCUUCAGUUUUGCUACCACAAUUUCUAAUUUUCUAUAGCAGCCAUAGCCCAUAGUUUUUCUAAGGUUAAGUGUGAUAAACUACGACACCAACUGGUAGAAACACCUCGGCUGCGCAGAUUAUAGGAGUGAGUAUCAAGUUGGCUGGACGAGCGGGAACGAAGGGGCGCCGUGCUGCCGCUCGGCUGGGAACUUAGGUGAGGUGCGGAACACAGGUGAGGUAGGGAACAAUCACUUCUUAGAUUGAUCAAUGCUUCCCAAUUGAUUACAGACGCCUGGACUUUAUAGUCCAACUCUAAACAGACUCCUUAAUCUUAGGAACUCUAACAGACUCUCCUUAAAAAACAGACUCCUUAAUAUUAGGAUCUCUAAACAGAUUCUCCUUAUCUAAGGAUCCUCCUAAUCCUUAUCUAUAUGCCCCUCUAUAAUGGGCCGACUAGAGGGCUGUUUAGGCCUCCUACUAUAAACCAUAACAUUUCUCCCUCCCUCGACGAACAGCUCGUCCUCGAGCUGAAACUGCGGAUAUGAAGCCUUGAACUGUUGUAGAGGUUCCCAUGUUGCAUCUACUGACUGAGUACCAUUCCAGUGCACCAACACCUGCCAUUGUCCGUGCUGCAUCCUUGCUCUUAUUAUCUUCUCUGGCGAUGGCAGAAGCCGGCCAUUUUGCAUAGGUGGGAGGUCUGGGGGCAGGACAGGAGGGGUACCCCGGAAAGGCUUAAGGAGUCCCACGUGAAAGACAUCAUGAAUUUGUGCCCCUUCUGGUAACUCCAGACGAUACGCUACUGCGCCCACGCGCUCAAGAAUACGAAAUGGUCCCGCAUAUCGCGGUCCCAAUUUCCCUUUGGGUCGUUCGACCAGUGACUGAGCUUGUCGAUUGAGGAGACGGAGCCAGACCCAGUCAUCCACAUCGAACUCGAGAUCCCGGUGUCGGCCAUCAUAAAACUUUUUGGCAUGCUCUUGAGCUUGCAGCAGCCUAUCUCUGACUUCCCCUAGAAAUAUAUCUCUUUCCCAUAGCAUAUCAUCCACAACUUGAGUGUCUGCUGUCCCCUGCUUAUAUGGAAUGAGAGGUGGUGGAUCCCUGCCAUAUACUACACGAAAAGGAGUUGUCUUCAAUGCUGAGUGGUAUGAUGUAUUGUAACAGUAUUCCGCGCAUGCAAGCCAGUCCACCCAAGCUCUUGGCCUGUCUCCCGUGAUGCACCUCAAAUACAUGGCAAUAGUUUUGUUGACUGCUUCCGACUGACCAUCAGUUUGGGGGUGAAAAGCAGUACUCAUUCUUAACUUGACACCUGUUAGCUUGAACAGAUCCCUCCAGAUAUGUCCGGUGAAAACUGGAUCUCUAUCGCUGACUAUGGAACUUGGGAACCCAUGCAGCCGCACUAUGUCAAUAAAAAAUGCUCGUGCCACAGUCGCAGCUGUGUAAGGAUGACUGAGGGCAAUAAAGUGGGCAUAUUUAGAGAACCGAUCAACCACUGUUAAUAUGACAGACUUACCAUGGACCUUUGGUAAACCCUCAAUGAAAUCCAUUGAGAUGUCUGUCCAUAUUUGUAUUGGGACUUCCAGCGGUUGGAGGAGCCCUGCGGGAUGCAGCGACUCUGUUUUGUUCCUCUGACAGAUUGCACAUGAUUUGACCCAAUCCUGUACCAGUGUCCUAUCCUUGUGAAUGAAGAAAUCAGCUCUUAAUCGAUGCAGCGUCUUUUGUACUCCACCAUGUCCUGCUGAGUGUGUGGCCUCCAGUAUUGAGGGAAUGAGUUUGGAUGAUGUUGGGAUAAACACCCUGCGGCCAUGCAGUAUCAAGCCUUCCCGUAUCUGCCAUGGGGCCUCUAGGGAUCCCUCUGUAAUCUGAGCCUGGAGGAGUUUCCACUCAUCAUUAUUAGCACAUUCUGCCUGCAAUUCUUGGUACAGCUGGAAUGUUGGGGUUGAUAUGGUAUGGACUGAACUUUCAGUUGUGUCCCUGCGAGAUAAAGAAUCAGCCACUGUGUUGAGUCGUCCUGCCCGAUAUUCCACUGUGAAGUCAAAGCCAAACAACUUACUAAUCCACUGAUGUUGUGGUACCGUGGAUAGUCGUUGAUCUAGUAUGAACUUGAGACUGAAAUGGUCAGUUCGUACCACAAAUCGUCUGCCCCAUAAAUAAGGACGCCAAUGACGUAUUGCCUGUACCAACCCAAUGAGCUCGCGCUCAUAUGCUGCCAAUUUUAUGUGUCGGGCUGCAAAUGGCCGGCUAAAAAAAAGCUAUUGGGCCGUGAUCUUGGUGUAGGACAGCACCAAACCCCGAGCCCGAGGCAUCACAAUCCACAGUGAAAGUCCGUUCAAAGUCAGGAAGCUGCAGGACUGGUGCUGAUGAGAGUGCCCGUUUGAGCGCUUGGAAGGCGGAGUCGGCUUCUGGAGACCACUGAAAGCCUUCUUUCUUUAGGAGUUUGGUUAACGGUGCAGCGAUUAACCCAAAUUCCUUGAUAAAUUUCCGGUAGUAGCCUGCCAAUCCCAGAAAUCCCCGCAGUCCUCGUGGUGCCUUUGGGAUCGGCCAAGAAGUAACUGCUUCCACCUUGUUGCUGUCCAUAGCCACUCCUUUAGCUGAGAUGAUGUGCCCUAAAUAAGCAACGGAUGUCGCACCGAAUUCGCAUUUGGACUGUUUGACAAACAAAUUGUUGGUCAGCAGGGUCUGUAGGACAGCCUUGACAUGUAUGAGGUGGUCUGACCAUGUGGCACUAUAGAUGAGGAUGUCAUCAAAGAAUACUAGGACAAACCGGCGAAGGAACUGACCCAGUACUUCAUUCAUCAACGCCUGAAAUGUCGCUGGGGCAUUUGAGAGACCAAAUGGCAUAACCAGAAACUCAAAGUGCCCAUGGUGUGUCCUGAAGGCUGUUUUGUGUACGUCUUCUGGAUGAACACGGACUUGAUGGUAGCCGGAUCGGAGGUCCAAUUUAGUGAAGAAAUGUGCCCCUUGCAGUUCAUCUAGCAGCUCAUCAACCACGGGUAUAGGGAAUUUGUCUUUGACUGUUUUCUCAUUCAGUGCUCUAUAAUCAAUGCAGAAGCGCCAUGAUUUGUCCCUCUUUUUCACUAGGAGUACUGGAGCUGAAAAAGUUGAUGUGCUGUAGCGGAUAAUCCCCUGUUGUAACAUGGUUGUGCAUUGUGCCUCCAAUUCAUCCUUUUGAAGCUGUGGGUACCUAUAUGGCCUAACUGCAACGGGUGCUGUUCCUGGCAAAAGGUGGAUCCUGUGAUCACACCUUCUUGCUGGAGGAAGGUCACUGGGCGUAGCAAACACCUUCUGAAAUUGCAGGAGCAGACGAUCCAUCAUCGGUUUGGUGGUUGUGAUAUCUGUGCUAAUUGUUCUCACUGCUGGGUACACAUUAAUGGCCUUCCGAUCUGAUCCCAGUCCUUUCCACACAAUCCGUUGUCCCCUUCUCCAGAAAGCUAGGCACAGGUUCUCGAGGUCCCAAAGUGUUGGCCCCAAAGUGCGCAAGAAUUUGACCCCGAGAAUGAUGUCGAAAGAAUCAAUUGGGAUGGCGUAAGCAUCCAUCAGAAAGUCUUCCUGGCCGAUAGUCAAGCUGAUGCUGUUGGAGAGCUUACAACACAUGAUUUUGUCCCCAUUGGCCACAGAUGUCUGGAGGGCUGGGCUUGGCUGGUAGUCCAGUUUCAGAGCGCGUGCCGUGUCUUGGUUGAUGAAGUUGUGAGUAGAUCCUGUGUCCAACAGGGCUGUAAGAGCUUUCCCCAUGAUAUGUACUUCCAGCUGCAAGGUACUCUCAUAAUGGAUACCCGUGAGGGCAUGUAAGGAGAUCACUGGUGUUGGGUCCCCUGGCACUGAAUCGGCCUCUAUAGAUUCAUCUUCCUCAUAGUCCGUGACCUCAAGAUAGAACAAUUUAGGGCAGCGAUGUCCACGGACAUACUGUUCAUCACAAUUAUAACAAAGUCCCUGGCGACGCCGCUCAGCCAUCUCAGCAGGCGUCAACUUCUUGAAUGUUCGCUGCUGUCCUGUACUGGGAGCUGCAGGAAUCGCUGGUUGAGGUGCCGGUACUGGUACAGACGGGCGCUGGGGUUGACACAUGGUCUUGUUGGUGGUUGAUGUCAGCUGGUGAUCGAGCACUUGUGACCUCCGUUCAUAUGCGCGCGCCAAACUCAAGGCGUGAUUGAUAUCCCGUGGUGCCAUGAGUUCCACGUCGAUCUUGAUACGCUCCGAAAGUCCAGCCGUAAACAGAUGUACCUUCUGCUCCUGUGACAGUGGAGCUGUUUGGGCUAGCAGGUCCCAAAAUCUCUCCUGGUAGUCAUCCACUGUCGUGCGGAAUGGAAGGCAUGCCAGUUCGCCGAGAGGAUUGCUGCGUAAUGGGGGCCCAAAGCAGAGUUGGCAAUGCUGCUUGAAGAGUUCCCAUGACAUGGAAGGUUCGUCGCGCUGCAGCUGGGUGUACCAUGUCCGGGCAAUUCCUGUCAUGUGAUAGGAUGCGAGACAGACUUUCUCAUCCUCCAGCGUGCGCUGACCUUCAAAGAAUUGUUCGCAUCGAUUGAGCCACUGGAGGGGGUCUUCCUUGCCGUCAAAUAGGGCAAAUUCGAGGCGAUGGAAGCGAGGAACUCCUGCAGUAGGAGUAUGGGGAAUGGUGUUGAGAGAUGGCAAUGUAGGUGGUGGAUAAUGUGGGAUGGGCGAAGGGGAAUGUGGCAAUGGUAGAAGAUGGAUUGGGAGCUGGGUGGUGGUGGGUGGUGGCACAUCAUCAGUUGGCGUCGUGGUGGGGGGUAUGCCUCCAUACCCGGGCAAGCCAUAGGGGCAGCUUGCUGGAAGGGACAGCGCCGCUGAUGCAGGCGGAGUCUCCACUGCUGCAAUGCGCGAGGACAUGGAGGACAUCUGCGUUGCGAAGGCCCCUAGUUGGCGCUGGACUUCGGCAAGGGCGGUGGUGAUCGCUGCCAACUCCGACGCCUGGGUGGCGGACGCUGCACUGUCGUCGGUGUUGGAUCCUGGCAUCUCCGAUACCAAAUUGGUAGAAACACCUCAGCUGCGCAGAUUAUAGGAGUGAGUAUCAAGUUGGCUGGACGAGCGGGAACGAAGGGGCGCCGUGCUGCCGCUCGGCUGGGAACUUAGGUGAGGUGCGGAACACAUGUGAGGCAGGGAACAAUCACUUCUUAGAUUGAUCAAUGCUUCCCAAUUGAUUACAGACGCCUGGACUUUAUAGUCCAACUCUAAACAGACUCCUUAAUCUUAGGAACUCUAACAGACUCUCCUUAAAAAACAGACUCCUUAAUAUUAGGAUCUCUAAACAGAUUCUCCUUAUCUAAGGAUCCUCCUAAUCCUUAUCUAUAUGUCCCUCUAUAAUGGGCCGACUAGAGGGCUGUUUAGGCCUCCUACUAUAAACCAUAACACCAACUAAACAGGCCCUUAAAUAUAGUACAAGACAUGGGGGCAAGAUAUUUCCAUGGUACAUAUGGCAAUACGAGAUUCCAAUGUACCUAACUACCAAAUACCUCCCUUCCCCCCAAGUCAUAAUGGGAGCAUGGCAGAUGGUCAAACUGGGGAAAAAGGUAAAGACUAACAUCCCUCGCAGCCAUCGUGACGUCACAAUGCAGAUUUUGCGACAAGAGUAGAAACCGACAAGUAGCUCAUGUGGAUGGACGUAUCCACAAGGGCUCACACGUCAUCCAUCUACAACGUUGGCAUCCAGAAGGUGGCAACCGUAGGCACAGACGGCCUAAGACCUAUAUCGAGCAUGAUGAGGACCAGCGAUAGCGACUGUGGUGAUGGCUUGACCAUGAGCAAAGUCAUUGCUGCCUGGGAAGGCACAAAACGACGACGCCAUUGCAGAAGCUAAGCAGGGUGGUGUGGUGGCCUGGUGCCUAUGAUGCUGGAGAUUGAAGAUGAUCGAGGGACUUUGAGGAGAGGCGGAGGAUGUAGAAGAACACAGGGUGGGAAGUGAGCCUGACGGGAUGGCACAACAGCCUGGCAGUGCCCAUCGUAUGUGUUCCUCUGAUUUGCUGCUGCUUGAUAACACUAGGUGGUGAAUCAAUCAAAUCAGCCGCCAAAACCGAGGGCUGGUCCCUGACAAAGAUUGAUCUCCCUAGUCCCUAGAGGCGACGAGAGCCUUAAGGUUCAGGAAAUACCUAAAGUCGUGAUACCAUGAAGUAGGACGCGAUCGUUAUAAUGCAUGGAUGCUUUACAUUGAGCCCUUGGACGGUAUAAGUAGAGUACAUGACUUGGGGGAAAGAUGCUUCUUUGAUACAUAUUGUAGUGUGAGAUUAUAAUAUCCCUUACUACCAAAUGUAUUCUAAGGAAAUUAGCCAUUAGCCUCACCUAUUGCCGUUAGCCCAUUCAAACAUGUGGGGCCUAAUAACAGGGCUAUUUUUUUCAGACACAUUCUAUCCGUUAGCUCAUUAGCUGGCCAAAAAGGGCUAAUUUUCGCUAAUUUUAGCUAGAUAGUUAUUAGCCUGUCCAAGCAGGUACUAAUCUGCUCCGGCCACGUGCCGCACGCCUUCUAGGUUGCCGACCGCCGCCGAUGCCCCCUCUCCCCGCCGAUGCUGCCGCUCCAGCGCCCCCUCACGACCACUUUUCCCUCCCUAGCGUGGGCGCCAGCAGACAGAGCUCUCUCUCCCACUCGCCUUAGGUGCCAGGUAACGCGAGGCAGACACCUUGCCUUGGCAGACCGCUUUAUCGCUUAGGUGACAGUGUCGCCUAAGCGUCGCCUUAAUAACUAUGCGCAAGUGUCUUCCUAUAAAGGGCGUACUAUUUAAGAAAGCUAAUUAGAACCAUUUUUUCUUGAUUACUGCCGUGUCAGUUAGGCCUAAAUGCAAAGGCAUGUAGAUUAAACAUCUAUUGGCUCUAGAUAACUGUAACACCCAGUUUGUAAUAUAUAUAAAAAAGGAGAAAAGUCAUUUCCUAUAUUUUAUGUGUGUAUUGAAUUUACUUAUCAUCACAUGUGAACACCAUAUUCAAACAACAAAUAAAUAAUAAAGAUAUAAGCCACCAAAUUAUGCAUCAUGCUGGAUUUUAUUUUGUGUGCAUAUUGUGAGAAAAUAAAAUAAAAAUAUGACAAGAAAUAUAUUAUAAAUAAAAGUAAGACCAUUAUGUUCAAAUUAUACUUUCAAUCUAAGAAGAAUUCACCAAAAUAUUUAAGUGUGAAAUUUGAAUUCAAAAGAGAUGGGAAAAAUAUAAAUCAGAAAAAGGAAAAGUAAAAUAAAAAGAAAAACUAGCACAUGGGCUGAAACCUACAGAACCGGCCCAUCUUCUUUUUAUUCCCUUCGCGCUGGCCGGCCCGUUUACACCCUCGCGUCUCACACUGUCGCGUGGGUCCCUGCUGUCAGCUCAUCCCUCCCCCAGGCGGGAUCUACUCGCACCGACAUGCCUGCCCCACUUGCAGCCUCUGCGCACCUGGACUCGACACUGUGUCACUGCCGGUGGGCCCUGGAUACCAGAAUUGUCUUCCCCGCCGUGUAAAUCCCUGGGCGCAACAGAACCCGCAGCCGCCGCCUCGGUGGUUGUGUCUGGCCGCGAAUUGCGCUGUGGAUCCCGGAGUUGGCCGAAUCCCACUGGUCGGACUCCUUCUCUGUGUUCGCAGCGUCGGGCGGAAACAGAAAUCCGCCGAACUCUGCGCGCGGCAAGAACGAUCCCGGCCGUGUUUCUCAUACGCGCGGACUCGGCCGAACGGCACACGCGGAAUUCAGAUGGAGCUCGCUUGGUCCGUUCGGUGCCUGGGGUCUCCCGAGGAUCUCGGUCGUCAGCUCACCCCUCCGGUGUAUAAAAGCCCGGCCCGUCCUCGUCUCAUCCUCCGCGUCGGCCGCCACUGACGGCGCUCGGCUCUUCCUCGUCGGCGGAUCCGUAUCCACGGUCUCCUCUACGUCCGUGUGGAUCUUGGUCCGCAGGCCGCGCAAGUCCUCUACACGGGAGCACGGGGGUGCGGGGCAGUGAGUUCGCCGGCGAAGAACCACCGUGCGAUGCUCAGGUGCCGCCAACUCGCGCUGCGUCGUGGACGAUGGUCUGUGAGUCCCGAUUCCUCGGUUAGUGACCCUCACCGUGCUCGUUGUGUUCCCAAUCGCGCGUACCACCUAUUCGAUUUGGGGAUUAGGCCCCAGGGUCCCGGAUUGCCAGCUCCGGCGAGGUGCGCCGCCAUGGGUACUAUGCCGUCGUGUCGGGGGUGGGGGAUCGCGUAUUCGCGUGGGUGCUGUGAUCCCGGAGAUCGACGGUUUGGAUUAAACGUUGGAUACCCCUCUGCUCAGUUGAAUCCGCACCGUCGAUAUGGCGAUGAUCGAUAUAGAUUACACCGUAAACCAUCGGGAAUGAUCUGGCCGUAGGUUUUAGAUCUUGCGGUCAGCAGCGCGUACCGGUUCGAUCUAUGUUAGAUAUAAUCGGGGCCGUAGAUUGUGGAUCGGGCGGACUGAAACACCCGAUGACCCUUUGCGGUGUUUAUUUUUCAAAAGAGCCCCCGUCUUUAGUAUAAAUAAACCCGCAGUCCACUCAGGGGAGUUCUGUGUCUGCGUAAAACUUAUGGUUUAGCCCCUGGACUCUCUGGUAAUGAUGCGCUUGGUCCAGAUAACAAGAAAAUCAAAUAAAUUCAUUUGGAAAAUACUUUUUAAUGCAAAAAUAAAUGCUAGAACUUGUAUAAAUCAUAGAAAAUUCAUAUGAACUCCGAAUUGACCCAUCCCAAUUUCUAUAAUUUUAUAAUAUUAUGGUUUAUCAAUUAGUGCCACUUAUUCGUCAUGAAAGCCACUUUAAAAAUUUAUUUCCUAACUAAUCUUAUAUCAAAUCCAUAAAACCUUAGGAAAUUCAUAACUCCUCCGUUUUAACUCCGAUUUGAUCCGUUCGAGUUGCGUUAGUCUCGUAGCAACGCAUAGUUUAUUAUUAUGCAGUUUGAUCUUAUGUUUGAUGUGAUGUUCAUUUUGCCUAUACCAUGUUUAUCUGUAUUGCUACGUUUAGCAGUGAGGACACGUGUCAUCUGAAGAGCAAGUUGGUACCUGGAAUCUCAAGUCUCAGGCAAGUUGUGCCCUUGAUCACUUCUUUUUACCCACUCAUGUUCUAAUUAAUCAUAAUGAUCUGCAUAGGUUAAUUUUGAUGGGACCCAAUAGGUUACCCUAGUUUGAUUAUCUUUAUACCUUGUUACCACUGAACUUUUUGGGUAGUACUUGCUAGUGCUUUAUGUGGUUUUGGGUAUGAAGAUUCAUUACUCAUGAUUAUACUUUUGUUAUCCAUUGUUAUUUAUCGUUCAUGAUAAGAUCAUUAUGUUAAUUGGAACAUGGAGCGACCACCCGGGAAAACAGUGCUACCACAAGGGUUUAAUGGGACGCCCUUGGCUGAUUAAUUAGGAAAGCUAGUGGAGGACUACCUUACCCGAAAGGGGCAAGGGCAGUAGGGGAGUGGUCAGUGUAGGGAGGCCCUCGGGAGGAUUUUGCUGCGAUGGCGGUCCUGCAAGGGAUUCCUGCAUUGGAGCUUCCUAUAAACUGUAGCGGGUUUUCUGAAGCUAGUGGAACUUUGUAAAGGCCUCGUAGUGUUACCCUGCCUCGCCUCCUCGGUAGAGGUGUAUGGGAAGUCGCGAUCGCUUGGCAGAUGGGUAACAUGACUUGUGGGUAAAGAUGCGCCACCUCUGCAGAGUGUAAAACUGGUAUACUAGCCGUGCUCACGGUCAUGAGCAGCUCGGACCCUCACAUGAUUAAAUUAUGGAACUUAAACUCAAUUUAUCAUAUGCAUUGCAUCGCAGGUGAGGUUGUUACUUUUGUUCUACAAUUUAAUUGGGUUGGUAUUUACUUAUACUUAGUAAUUGCUAAUAAAAUUUUGACCAACUUUAAAAGCAAUGCUCAGCUCUAACCAUCCUCUUUGGUAAGCCUUACACUUCACGUGAACUCCCACCUUUGGCGAGUUCAUGCACAUUAUUCCCCACAACUUGUUGAGCGAUGAACGUAUGUGAGCUCACUCUUGCUGUCUCACACCCCCCCACAGGUCAAGAACAGGUACCACAGGAUGAGGCGCAUGAAGGAUGCUGUGACGAGUUCUUGAGUGGUCUAGGUCGUCGUCUCCCAGUCAACUUUGGGUUGCUGGAUCGUUUCCUCAUAUGAUGUAAUUAUCUAAUUAUUUUGUAUAGAACUCCUGUUAUAUAGUAAAGAUGUGACAUUCGAUCCUGUGCCACUAUGCAUCAUAUGUGUGAGACUUGGUCCCAGCACACCUGAUGUUUAUGUUCGCGCCCGGGCUUUGGAUCCCUAAAACCCGGGUGUGACAAUAACCGUGUUUGCUAAUUAGAACUUCCCUCUUAAUAGUACGACUAUCUAUUCUAAACUCGAUCUUACACUUUAUUGCGUCUUGAUCGGCAAAACGAAAUGCCUAUUUAUACAUUUGCCUUGACACAUUGGAUUUUGUUUUUCUCUUUCUUCUUUUCAAUGUUAGGGCUCGCUGCAUUCAUCCAUCUCCAAGCCUUGCUCUUCAUAGGGCUUUUAGUUUGCAAGUCUUGAAUUCUGUAGAUGAUGUGUUGUUGGUAAUUUGAAUUGACUUCAUUAAACGUAAACUUUCGCAAAAGUCUACUGUGCCUUUGGUUUGCAAUGAAAGCUUGUUUUGUUCAACUACCAUUCUACCAUGUUUCAGAUUUUAGACAUCGACCUCACCUGGCGCAUGCACAAGGCAUCAGAUGGUCAGAGGAGACGUGUCCAGAUUUGCAUGGGACUUCUUAAGUCAUUCAAGGUUUGUUUUCCUUUUCCAUGUCUCAAAGGAUAUAAUGCUAUCAUUCACACUAUAAUUAAAAAAAUGCAAUGCAGGUUCUUCUUCUUGAUGAGAUCACAGUUGAUCUUGAUGUUCUGGCAAGAUCAAAUCUGUUAUCGUAUCUUAAAAAGGAAUGUGAGGAAAGAGGUGCAACAAUCAUCUAUGCCACACAUAUUUUUGAUGGUCUUGAUGAUUGGCCAACACACAUUGUAAGCUCCAUUGAAUCUUGUUGUUUAUAAGCUCAAGUAUUUCUUGUGGAAUUGUGGACUUAGAUGAUUAUUGUUUUUGUAUUUCAAGGUUUACAUUGCUCAUGGGAAACUGCAAUUAGCAGUGCCUUUGGAAAAGGUGAAAGAAAUGAGUCAGUUAUCUCUCAUGGUAAGUAUCGUCCAUCCAUAUAGAACAGUAUGCUUUAGCACAUCAUGGACAUUCACAUUAUGCUUUAGUACCGCAUGGCCAUUCAGAUUUGCGUUUGCAUUUCAGAGGACUGUGGAGAGCUGGUUGAGGAAAGAAAGAAAUGAGGACAGGAGGAGGAGAAAGGAGCGAAAGGAGAAAGGCCUCCCAGAAUUCGACAAGGUUGUCGAGGGUAGUCGGGUUAUAGGUGAUCCAGCAAAGAACGCAGACAGAGUUAUAAACAACGGGUGGGCAGCUGGACGGCUUACCUCGACGAUUGCAGGAGAGGAAAAUUUCGUCUUCAGCUCUAACAGCGUACUUAGGCAAUGAUCUAGCUUUGUUUUCCUUUAUCUAUACAUUGAAAACGGUAAAUAAUAGUCUUGCGGAUCCAAUAGAGAUAUCGUUGGAGCUUUGUCAUUUAUAGCGAAAGUUCUGUCAGGAAAGGAGAAUUCACUCUAUAUAGUUUGGAUUUGAGGAUUUACACUGUAAUUUUAUUCGCAGCUGAGUGUUCGAGAAAAAGAAAUUGCACUGUAACAACAUAUAUAUACUGCACCAAAUAUUUGUGUGGUCAUAUUUAUUUCUACAGGGGCUACGCAUAACUUGGGUCAGGUUUCAGUUGCUACGUUUGUUCAUACAUAAAUGCAAGGCAAGGGAACUGUAUGGUCAAAGCGGAACAACACACCAUGCUACGUUUGAAAAACAAGGAUUAUGAUUUUUACUUUUCUAAAUUUUUAGGCCUUGCUAAUAGUAGAGAUUUUGAAUCGCUCUGGAUUUAAACCCAUCCAAUCCACGUGCAUUGAGUUGAAAAGGAACAUGCAAAUAAAUAAACACACCAACUACAACUUUUCAUUUGCCGCAAAGAUCAUGUGGGCGUUCACCAUGGGCGUUCAUCAUAUACACAGUAGAUGCCCAGAACCACUUCUCGGUACGUCCCUCCAUGCGCACAUGCUACACCCCUUCACAGGCACAUAUAGCAAGGGUUGAUGCUGCGAUAUGGACCAUAUGGGCCAAUUUUACAACUACUGCGGGUUUCCAACGGGCAGCUCACCACACACGCUGAUGUCUAGAACUAGAACCAUCUUUACACACCCUUCUUGUAACUAACAUAAUUCUACUGCCAACAGCGGACCAAGGUAAAGCAACUACUACGCCUUUUUUUUCUUUAAAAUGUUACUGUGUUCAUUUGUAUCUGUGGACAUCAAUUUAGCAACAGUAUUUACCAACUCCAUAAUUGUUUCUUGUGUUGUGUGUGAACAUGUAAAGUUUCAGAGAAAAAACGAAGUGCAAUAUAUGUUUCCAAGUGAGACAAGGUCUUUGUUUCAGAAUAACCAGCACCGGAUUUUAUUGUCACAACUGAAGUAACCACGCUGAUCCAUGAACUGCAGGUACAAGUCUAAAGAAUGUGGCGUAGCUUUGUAACAUCUGCAACAUCCGUAGUCUUUCAUGAGUCUAAAGGUACACCGGUUCGGUAACAUAGUUGCAGUUAUCACCGUUACUAUUUGAAAAUUGGCUUGAAAUGGAAAAAAAAACCCAUUCCAACUGCCAUUUGAAAAUCGACCUGAAUCGAAGUAAAUUCCAACUUUGUAACUGUAACCAGCAUAAGAAUAUUUGCUCAAGAUUGAUUGUUAGUGCACAUUGAAGUGCCGUAGUUCCAAGGAUGGCUGCACAGCUGCAGCCUGCAGUCAGCAAUGAGACAAACCUUGCAAACUGAUGUUACUUUAGAUUAGAUUAGAUGUUACUUUAGAUUAGAUUAGAUGACCCGGUAGCUAUAACUCCACGUUGUCAAUCGGUAAUUUCCAUGUUUCACUGCAUUAAGGUUCCACCCACUCCCGAGCCUAGACCUGUUCCUCUCCAUUUCUGCCUCUGUCCAAGUGGUAGGAAGAAUGGUCACGAUCUGCGUUCUGCCUUUCUCUUCUAUUAUUAUUAUCCUUUCCUUUUCCACGACGACGUACAUUUGUUUGACAGAGCAUAUCGGACGACAGCAGAAAGAACACGUAAACAACACGGUAGCUGGAUUUGUGCGCGUGAAAGACCUUACUGUGGGCUGGAAAUUGGAAUAAGGAAAAUUGUACGUAUAUCGUUGACGAUAUCCAUUUCUUUUCUCUUAUAUAAGGUUGCAAAACGCAGCUCAAAUGGUGCAAGUACAAAAUCUUUUAUAAACAAAGCUUCCAUCUCCGCUCCAAAAAACCAGCAGAUAACACACUUGUGCUCGGGGUCGGGGGAGGGGGCCGGCUAGUGCAAAUGAAGCAGCUUCAGAAGAUGGCUCUCCUACAACUCUUGUUGGAAAAUAUUGUUCUCUUAUUACUGCCGCUGCUCGCUCUGACCUUUUCUUGCUGCGACGCGGCAACCCUGAAGCUGCACGCCCACCACGCGGACGGCGGCCUCAGCCUCAGCCGCCGGGAGCUGCUGCACCGCAUGGCCGCGCGCAGCAAGGCCCGCGCCGCGCGGCUGCUCUCGGCCUCGGGGAGCGCCCGCGUAGACCCGGGACCUUACGCCAACGGCGUCCCCGACACGGAGUACCUGGUGCACCUCGCCAUCGGCACACCGCCGCAGCCCGCGCAGCUCAUCCUCGACACCGGGAGCGACCUCGUCUGGACGCAGUGCCGGCCGUGCCCCGCCACCACCUGCUUCAGCCAGGCGCUCCCAUACCUGGACCUGUCCAACUCCUCCACGUUCGGCGUGCUCCCCUGCAACCAGCCCAUGUGUGACAACCUCGCCUGGUCGUCUUGCGGCAAGCACAGCUGGGGGAACCAAACCUGUGUCUACGUCUACUCAUACGGCGACAGCUCCAUAACCACCGGCCACCUCAACGCCGACACCUUCACGUUCGCGGCCGCUGAUGGCUCCGGCGGCCAGGUCUCCGUACCCGACCUGGCCUUCGGCUGCGGUCUCUUCAACAACGGGAUUUUCGAGUCCAACGAGACCGGCAUCGCCGGCUUCGGGCGCGGCGCGCUGUCCCUGCCGUCGCAGCUCAAAGUGGACAACUUCUCCUACUGUUUCACCGACAUAACGCGGCCGGAGCCCAGCUCCAUCCUGCUCGGCCUUCCGGCCAACCUUUACGGCGACGCCGGCGGCGUAGUGCAGUCCACUCCUCUGGUCCAGAACUUCUCGUCUCUGGAACUAUACUACCUGUCACUAAAGGGCAUAACCGUCGGCUCGACGAGGCUGCCGAUUCCGGAGUCAACGUUCGCGUUGAAGCAGGACGGGACGGGCGGCACGAUCAUCGACUCUGGCACCGGCAUGACAAUGCUGCCCCAGGACGUGUACAAGCUUGUGCACGACGCGUUCACUGCUCAGGUGAGGCUGCCCGUGGACAACGCCACGUCGUCGUCGCUCUCGCAGCUCUGCUUCUCGGUGCCGCGGCGAGCUAAACCCGACGUGCCACAGCUGGUGUUGCACUUUGAGGGCGCAACGCUGGCCCUGCCGAGGGAGAACUACAUGUUUGAGUUCGAGGACGCAGGCGGCAGCUUCACCUGUCUUGCUAUCAACGCCGGAGAUGGCCUGACGACCAUCAUCGGCAACUACCAGCAACAGAACCUCCACGUCCUUUACGACCUGGUGGGCAACAUGUUAUCCUUUGUUCCUGCUCGGUGCAACAGGCUUUAGAGGAGUAACGGAUAUAGAAUUUCACUACAUGGUAUGCCACGUUAAAAUUUUCGUUAUAUACACAAUAAGGUAAAAAAUCCAUUUAAAAUAUUCAAUAAAAAACUAUCCUGCAAAUCGGUAUUCAGAGUAAAAACUACCACGUUAAGUUUGACAAUUUAUAUAAAUUGUCCUUUCUCUAGUGCAGCCAUAAAUGAAAUGUUUACUUGUAUCACUAUAUUUAGAUACAUACAACAAUUUACGCUAGUCGUAGAAAAGUUUUAUGUAUUUUUCUUACCUAUUUGAACAUGUUUUCAAGACCGUGUUGGUUGAAAGUGAAUCAAUAUUUAUAUUUUUAUCUAGCACUAUUUACUCAAACUUGAGGAUUUUUAAAAUCAUAAAUACAACACAGAAAGUUAUCAAAACUGAGGGUUUUUACACUAAAAACCGAAGGUUUUUAUGAUCGAACCUAGAGUGAAUCCAUCAGUAUAUCGUGUGCCAUAUUUUUCGUAUGCAUAGUGAAAAAGGAAUCCCUUGAUUUAUGGUAUCCAUGACCCCAAGGAAAAAACCAAAUUACCUAAUCCGUUCACAUAACUAACUCUCCUAAUCAAAUCCCUUGAUUUAUGGUGGCUGCAAGAAUGUGGGGAUUGUUGAUUCGGAGUGAAUCAACAUUUACACUAUAUCUAACACUAUUUCAUACUCAAACUUAAGGAUUUUUACGAUCAUGAAUACCAACAUCUUUCAUGUUGGCUCGAUAUUUACGCUCGGAACUAAGGGUUUUUAUGCCAAAAACUGAAGGUUUUUAUGCUAGAACCCGAAGAUCCAUCCACCAUUGUAUCGCAUGCCAAUUUUUACGUCUACCAUAAUUUUUAGACCUGAAACCAAUCAACAAAAUGUACCGGCCACAAAAUGUGUCCCUUCCAUAAAAUCAUAUCUCACACGCGCGCCUGAUCAAACCGCCCAUAAUUUUUGCCACAAAAUUGCACCUGCCAUAAAAGCGCAUCUAGUUUCAGCGAGGUUGGGGGGUUGGGCCCGUAUUAGAACUUUUUAUCAAUUAUGAUGCAUGGUGUAGAUUUUUAUGCAAUUUUCUAUAUGGAUUUAUAUUUUGUGUGAUACUUGUCAUCUAUUUUUAACGCAAAUGCGGCGAAAACGAAAAUAUCAUACAAAAUUUGCCCGCAUGCAAUGAAAACACAUACAACAUGUUAUAAUUAUCGGAUCUACCAUAAAAAUAGAAACCGUGCAUGUAGCUGGUGGGGCAACAUGCCCACAUGCAUGCGCACACCUGGUGUUGGUUGGACGUAGUGCAGGAGGGCAACUGGGGCUUCCUGUAACAUUGGAAGCCUUGAACUCCCGAUAUACCCUCCUAAGAGCACCUAGAGAAGUGGUGAAUAGGUGAUCCUGCAAAAAUCAACUCUAAACAACACAAACUUGGUUUGUAAUAAGUGUUAGUGAAAACUAAAACCAAGUUAGAAUGAGAAAAUAGAUAGAGAGAGAACUCUUCUCUUGAUUGCUCCUUUAAGAUGUGUAUUAAACUUAGGAGUAAUAUUGCAAGAGAGUGGAGAACCCAUGAAGAUAGUAAUCACAAUAAGUAAAUAGACAAGUGACACAAUCAGAAUCGACGGGGUGGUUGUGGGGCCCAAAGAUGGCCAGGGCGGUGUGCAAGCAAACUUGCACGACCGAAGGCAGCAGCCACGAGCGAUGCACAACAAGUGGUGGAGGCCACUAGCAAGGGUGGGAGCGGUGGCUGAGGGCCAUUGUGGUAAGGUUACAUGCAGGAGAGGAAGGCGUCCGGGAGAAGGAUGUGGUGUAGUCAUGUUAACGAUAACUCCCAUCAACCAAUCUGACAGCCGAUAGAAAUUAAUUAAUUCUCAUGGACCUGACAGUGUGGUCGACGGGAGUUACCUUAAUUCUCAUCGACUUGGCGAAGGCAGAUAAGAAUUAUUUUAGCCGACAAGAUUACUCACGAUUCUUGUUGUGACUUGCAUGGCUUACUAUCCAAACUAUAUAAACAGAAAAUGAGAUGCCCUUAGCACCAAUACACUAAACCAUGUCUUUAGCUAACAUAGACUAGCAAUAUAGUCCUUACAUGGAAAAACUAAAGACCUAUAAGCUAAGAGGCACACUAGAACAAGCAAAUCUAGUUGUCACCAAAUUAGUUAAGGUAGACACAAGCACUAAGCAGGCCAAUCAACAUGAAUGUAAAUGUAAGAGGUAGAAAGGACAAGAAACAACUAACUUUUUCUCUCAUUGUAUCCAGGUGUUGCCACAUCCUCCUAAUCUAUGUUGAAGCAUCCACAAAGGGUUGAGCUCCUUUGAGUCACCAAGGCUCAUGCUUCACUAAGACCACUCAUUCUCCAAUUUGGAUUGACUAGUCACUAAUCUAAGAACAAAACACUUGUGCCUUCUAGUGAAUCUUCUCUAAUGGAGGGUGAAAGGAUGAAAUAAUUCAGAUCGUUGUCCCUUUGCUCUAUGCCUAUGAUUUGUUGGUCCAUCUAUGUCUAUAAUUUGAGGGUCUAAUGGCAAAUUUUUGAAGCCCCGCUGAUAAUAAUAGCAAAAUAGAAAAUCUCCUGUGAAAUGACUAAGAGUGUAGCCUAGAGGAUUGUGAAUAAGUGUUUCUAAAUAUUUAUAACUUAAAUGCAGAAAUUGUUCCAUGAGGAUUUUCUUGAAAAUCCCAAAUUAGAGCAAAUCAUCCCCUCUAGAUACGAACACUAUGUAUAUAAAAUAUAUUAAACAAUACCAAAAGACAAACACCAGCAACAAAAAUGGUUAGAGCAACAAAUAACAAAAACAACAUAGCGACUGACUCCCUCAUGAGUCACGACCUUAUGGUCGGGCCUCGCCUCUACGCUCGCUACCGGUGGCUGUUGGGCCCAUGCAUUGUCGCUCAUGGCUAUGCCAGCCCUAAUACCGCACUGCUCGUGGCCGACUCGGUAUCAAGUUGGCGUGACACCAAGUUAACUCAUGCCACCCAAGACUGGAUAUAGUAGAGGGCCACUGGGAUGGUGGCUCUAGGCCCCCUAAAUCUGGUAGGAUUCUUCUCUUGUCUUCCCUAUAUCGGUACCUUGGUUUUAACUCAAUAAAAAAAUCCAAAAAAAGUUAUGGUUGAUAUUACAAUUACAUCGUUGAAAGUAGAUUUGAAGAGCUUCAGACAUUCAAAAAUAUAUCUGGUUUCUUAUUGAGCCCAUAAACCUUAAAUUCACUAAAUGAGGUUGAGUUGAAAAAUUGUUGCACUAAGUUUGCAGAAAUAUUUUGUUUGCCUGGUUCAUCUGAUGUUGACAUAAAUGAACUAAUAUCUGAGAUGAGGAUUCUGAAUUUAAGUUUGCUAGAAACGUCAAUGUCUUCUAUGCAGAUUUUUUUGAGUAUAUUAAAAAGAUAGAUUCUUAUCCUAAAAUAUCUAUAUCUUAUCGGAUCUUAUUUAUCAUGUCUAUGAAUGUGGCAUCAGUUGAAACAAUUUUUUUCAAUUUGAAAUUGUUGACGAAUAAUUUAAGAUCUAUAAUGUCUCAAAAACGAUUGAACGGUCUAUCAAUUUUAUGUGUUGAGAAGAAAUUAUUGAAUGAGAUUGGUACCAACACCAUUAUUAAUGACUUUGCAUCAAGAAGUGUUUGAAGAAACUUUUAAGAUAUUAUAUAAAUAGUUUGAUGCAUUUUUAAUAUCAAGUUAGUUUUCGCUGAUAAAAAUGUAUGCAUAUAUAAAUAUAUUAAUUAAGUUAAAUUAUAUUUAUACAUAAGAAGUUUGAUAUUUGGGCCGAAUUUUUUGUAUUUUGUCCUUUUGUUGGAAAAAAAUUCACGUUUAGACCUUAAAAAAUUUUAAUGUCAUUUUUGGACCCUUUGCUCGGCGCCAUAGGCUAUGGCGCCGAGGUACGUGCUGCGCUGCCCCAACCCCGACGACGUGGCGCCGACGUGGUACCGAGCUCGGCGCCGAGCUCGAAUAUAUAACUACAAAGCUCUCUAGCUCAGUUGGUAGAGUGUAAGGCUCUUAACCUUGAGGUUGUGGGUUCGGGCCCCAUCGUCGCUGAUUUUUUUUGUUGUCGAGAUUUUUUUGUUUAUGCCGCUGAUUUGUCCAUCAAAAUUUAUUUUUCAUUUAGAUUUUUUUUUUGCUUCAUACGGUAAUACUUAGAUUUUUUUUUGCUUCAUACGAUUUUUUGACUGACGAGCAGGUAGUAGUCUAGGACUAGCUAGGUCUUGGAAGGAAGGGACGGAGCUUCAAACGACGAAAGCAAAUAUACAUAUGCUACUACUUCAAUCUUUUAGUACCUCUUUAGCUCUUUACUUUACGGUAAUACUUGCACCUAAAACCAUCCCUAAUUUCCUCUCCAUACUCCCACGUUAGAUCCAGCAUCUCACCUAUAACACUGCAAAUAAUACUACCACAUAUUUUUUAUAACAACUAUCAUGUCAGUAAUUAUAAUAACUACCAUCUAAUACAGUUAAAAAAUUCAUAAAUUAAUCAAUGCACUUACGUCUAACAUUACCGUCAAGUAAAUAAUUAGGCAAAUAAUAUUGAUACAACCAUCUAAAUAAUUAUGUAAACAAUACUACCAUGUAAUCCUAACAUCUAAAUAGCUAUGCAUGCUACUAAAUUUGUGUCCUUAUUAAGAUAUUGUGAAGCUACUAAAUUUGACAUGUCAUAUUUCAACUGCAGUACUAUAUAGUUAGCGCAUAUUCUUCUUGUUUCUUUUGACGCGUUCUCUGUCGACGGAAUCUGUGCAAAGGACGACAGUCGGUAGUUGAAGACUGAAACAUGAAAAAUGAUCUGAAAACGUCCAAACUAGCUGUGGACUUCGACACCUUCGCAUAUCCAAUCCGUACCCCCAGGAUUUUCCCCGUUUUUAUUGAGUUAUUAGCUACUGCUAGUAGAGGACGCAUAAAACAAAGUGACCAUUUAACUACUCUCUAGAAAGCAGUUUCUGCGCACAGUGGUACAUACACGGAGUGCUCCAAUAGAUUAUGUGCAUGGUCCUUGCGUCACGGAGUUUGAAUAAACAAAAAUAAAAACAAAAAAUAUCUAGAUGAAUAAACAAAUCAGUCGCAAAAACAAAAAAAAUCUAGAUGAGAAAUAAAUUUGACGGACAAAUCAGCAACAUAAACGAAAAAUAUGGAUAAAAAAACAAAUUAGUGACAAAGACAAAAAAACUAUUGAACGCUCACCAUGGGGCUCGAACCCACAACCUUAAGAUUAAAAGCCUUGAGCUCUACCGACUGAGCUAGAUGAGUUUUGUCAUUAUACAUCCGAGCUCGGCGCCAUAGAUCUUGGCGCCGAGCUCGGUGCCACGUCGGCGCCACGUCGUCUGGGUUGUGCCAGCGCAGCACGUACCUCGGCGCCAUAGCCUUUGGCGCCGAGAUGUGUUACCUCGGCGCCAUAGCCUAUGGCGCCGAGCAAAGGGUCCAAAAAUGACAUUAAAAUUUUUUAAGGUCUAAACUUGAAUUUUUUUCCAACAAAAGGAAAAAAUACAAAAAAUUCGGAUAUUUGGGUUCAUCUCUAAAAUAUCAGCUCGAUGCCACCGGGCCUGCUGCCUGCACACCCUUCUUCCUUGCAAGCAUACGCUAACCCGCUCAUCACACGUGGAUAGGAGUGGUAAUAAACUUUAAAUUGUAUACUAUAAUCAUUGUGUUCUAUUUCUAUUCAUUUUUAAAACAAAAUUUAUUAAUAGCUUUAACGAAUCAUAAAAAUUUAUUUGGAUCGUGAUCCAUUGGUAUAUCUCCAUCCAUUCUUUUUCCAAGAACGAGCUGAACCCGAAUCUACGUGGUAUAUUCCAUAGUAGGAUGAUCCCUAUCUCUGAUCGAUUCUUAAGCAAACACUAUGCUCAAGCAAGUUUAAUAAUAUAGCCAACUAUUGGCUAUAAAGUUUAUUAUAGUCAAUCUUUUAGUCUAUUCAUAUAAUGGUCAGCUCUUAACUAUUAAUACAGGACCAACUUAUUUCUCUCAGAGUUUCUUGGUUCACUUUUUUUUUCCCUCCAUCUCAGCCUACUUAGGCCCUGUUCGGUUGUUUAGGAUUAGAGCCCCGGAUUGAUUCCUAGCCGGAUUACUUCUCUAAUUUAUAUAGAUUUUGAUGAGCUGGAUUAAAUCCUGGCUUAUUCCGGUACAACCGAACGGGCCCUUAAGGACUUCUCUUAUUAUACUUGCUCUAAAGUGAAAUAUCCUAUCUCGGACCAUCCUAUCCCCAAACCAAACAAAGCCUGACCCCUACCGUUUUGCGUACGGAUUGACCUCUUCUGCUUUCAUUUUGAUAUUAUAUAGGAAGUUAUAAUGUAAGUCCAAAAGUACGUAUGAUCCGAUUGCCGCCAUCUUUUCAUUGCCAUUUUCCAAACACUGCCAUACUUGUGGCAAACGAGAUGCUAAACGCACAAGACAUGGGGCCUCGGCUUGUCGCAAGCAUAUUUUCUUUUCUCCUUUUUUUCUUUUUCCAACUUGAAUCAACAGUGCUACAGUCUACAGGACAGGAAAGAAACCAUGUUUGCAUAUCUCCUUGAAAGGCAUGUCUCCUUGAAAGUCCUUGAUCAGGCCGAUUACAGAAGGCAUAUUGUACAUCUGACUGCGAUACAACGACAAAAAUUGGUAAUGAAUCUCGUUGCGCAUCGAGAAUCUUUGCCAUGUAUCGACUCACCAGUCGUCAUCCCAUCGCACCCCAUGUUUAGCAGCGAGAUGGUAAGCAUUGAUAGGCCCUCUGUCCCCAGCCUCGUAGAGCUCAGGAACUACUCUGUUCUGAUCUAUCUCAUGGAUUAUCGGAGUGAGCACAUUCCAUGCGGCAGCCAGUUCGUCGCUGCGCAUGAAUAAAUGACUAUCUCCAUCUAGCACGUCCAGUAGAAGAUGUUCAUACGAAUCUGGUACCUCGGUGUUGUACCUACACAUCAAAGUUCAUGGUUUAAUGACAGUUCUAUGGAUAAAUCAUAAGGCGAUCCAAGAGAUCUCCAUACCUAUCCCGGUAAAGCAGGUUCAGUUCUGAAGCAUCCAGCUGGAGCCCAAGCCCUGGGACCUUGUUGUUGACUUUCAACAGGAUUGCUUCUUCAGGUUGAUCGCGUAGAACCAGCUCGUUUGUGUCGAGAUCUAUGUCAUGGCCAAAGCGUUCACGGUAGAUAUUACCAGGGACAUGGCGAAACUGAAUUCGAAUUUCUGCUCUGAAGGAAAUCAAUGAUUGGACUACUUCAGUUAUGCUUGAUCGAUUUGUCAGACGGUAGUUUUUUUCUAUAAAAACUGGUAAUAUUCUUUCAUAAAAAUGUGGCAACCUUGCAAAGGCUAUCAACAAAGUGAUCAGAACAGGGUGCACUACUGAAACAUUUGAUAGAACAGCAUGCUAUCUGCAUAUGAAUCGAUUCCUGAUUCUACCUUUUGAGAUGUUAGGUUAUAGAAAUGCAAUAAGAUCAUAACAGCACAGCGCGACAAUUAGUCAAUGAGGUGGCUGAAUUCAGAAAUUAAACUAUUAGGACAUUUCCUGAUAAAAGUUAUGAAACUCAUUUAACGUACCUAUUCGUCAUAAGUCCCAUGCCUGUCCUGAUAAAAAAUGGUACCCCAUCCCAGCGUGCAUUGUCAAUGUACAUAGCAGCAGCAAAAUAGGUUGGUAUCAUGGAUUUUGUGUAUCUGUCAACUUUACCAGACAUAUCUUUAAGUUGACCAAGAACAACAUCAUCAAGGUUCACUUUCCGAAUUGAUCUGAGAACCUUCACCUGCAUAAGUGGUAGUUCUUAUGAUCCUGUAUCAAAGCCAGCGCUUUCUAACUUCCAUCUAGCACAGUAGUGCCGAUUUCCUAUGUUAAAAAAUUAUACCACCUUACCUUUUCAUCUCGGAUAUCCUCUCCAUCAAGACUUACAGGUGGUUCCAUAGCAAAUAGAGCUAUUGUUUGAAGAAUGUGGCUGUGAACUAUGUCACGGAUUAUCCCAUAAUUUCCAAAGUACCUGCAAGGGCAUAUGGUUUUGAACUAAAUGAUCCAGAAUUAGAAUGCCGAAACAUGAAUCGGUUUUCAAUAAAGAGAACCAAGAUAAGAGAUAAUUUCAAAGGUUAAACAGAAGAGACUAUUGUAAAGUUCAAACAAACCUAAUAAUGACCUACUCACGCAGAGUUAGCCUAGAGUUUGUGAUAACAUGUAUGGUUUUAUAACAUUCAAUGCUGUUAAGGCAAUUCAAUAGGAUUAACUCACCUCCCUUGUAUUUCAUUUGAUGUUUCUUCAGAAAAAAUGACCUGACACAAUUCACACACAUUACUACAUGAUUCAUGUAUAUACAAGAUAAUAAAGCAUGUGCAAAAUGACUUUUGAAGUGUACCUGCACAUUCCGUAUGUAAGUUCGACUCCACAAAGGUUCAAACACCAAGUUAGAAAAUCUCAAGACAGUAAGAUUUUCGAUCAGAUCCUUCCCCAGAAGGUGGUCAAUCCUAUGGGAUAAAAAUGUCAAGCUUCGUAAUUGAACAAUCCAAAAAAGGGAAAACCAGCUAAGGUUGGAAGGAAUGUGAAUGGGUGUCUAGCUCAAUUGGUUAGAUGGCCUCAUUAGCACUCAAGUCCUGGGUUUGACUCCCCGUGGGACCAAAUUUUAUGUUGGAGUUAAGGUUGAAAGGAUUAAACAUUAAAGGUGGAAUAGUACCUGUAAAUUUGCUUCUCCUCAAACCUUGACAGCAUAGAUUGUGUUACCCGCAGUGAGGACAAACCAGUAAAGCCAAAUGGUUUCUCGAUAAUUAUUCUAUUCCAGCCUUGCUUAGUUUGGGCACCGUCAGCCAGUGGCAAUGCUACAUCAAGGAGUGCCUCUUGUGGAACAGCAAGGUAGAAUAUUCUGUUUGCAGCACCAAUGCCCUGUGAAACAAAAAUGGGUGUGAUGGAACUUAAUGAAUGGGAUUUCUAUUUCAAGUACCCCAAAAGAUUCAGAAACAGUUAUGAGAUCAAAUUUUACCUCUAUUUGUGACAUCCUAGAAUUUAAUCUAACCAUCCCUUCUUGGUUGUCAUGUCCGGCAUCUACAUAAUACGUCUUUUUGAGGAACUCAAUUAGCUUGUCAUCACAAUUUUCACUGCAUUCACAAUAAACAUCAGAACACAUUCUUCUUAGUUUGGUAAAGCCUUUUUUUCUACGACAGUAAAACUAUUUUUAAAAUGACAGAAAAACUAUGUUAGUGCAUGCACCAAAAACUUUGGAAGAAGCGAAGUGGUGUCAAGCACCAACCUAAACAACAGAUCGUUUGGUCUAAAACCAUGCUGUGCAGCUUAUUAAAGGCAUCAUAAGAAUGGGUUGGCUAUAAUAAUUAUUUAUAUUAAUCUCAAAGCUAUAAAGGAAAUAGUAUAGAUACUAAAUGUGGUGCUAUUUUUUUAUUUUGUCAAUGCAACUGCCAUCACAAUAAUUAUCAUAUGGAAAGUUGCCAAAUAACAUACUGGUGAUCCACCCGGCAGGUCAAAUUGGCUUCAAUUAUAGAUCUUAAGCCCUCAUCUGUCAAUUUCUUCCUAGAAUACCCAAAUAUACCAACAUUCUGCAGCAUAAAAAUGAAAAUGAAAGGUGUGACAUGAAAAUGACAGUAGCAGAAGUUAUUCUAUGUUCAUACCCGAGGAAGAAAACCACUGUAAUACAGAGCAAAUAAUGCUGGAAAAACUUUAGUUCUUGCCAGCUCACCAGUAGCUCCAAUUACAGCAAUGCAAAGAGAUGGUUCAUUGUUAGAGCGUCUUUUGGACACAGCAGACUCUUCCUUUUGAACAUGAGAACUGAUUUCAGAGAUGAUGUGUCCCGGAACCACUGGUUUUUCCUGAACAGUUGAACUAUCCAAAGUAUCAGAGCUUGUGUUGGCCAUUUCACCUCCAGAAUCUGCAUAAAGGGGAAACAGUCAGGGCAACAUGAAAGCAUAAAGACAAAAAUUGCCAAGAAGUUUGCAGUAAAAAGUAGUUGUAAGAUAAUAUGACGAAGAAAGUUUCUCUUGAGCAUUUUUUUGCUUAUAAUGCUAAUGCAAAUUGAAUGUAACUAUCAAAAGUAUGAAGCAAUCCAGUGUCAGCAGCACUGACGAAAUCAUAAGGCAUUAAGACAAUAAUGACAACUGUGAUAAGCACAUCUGCACAUGCAAAGUAACGGACUCAAGACAACGGAUUUCCCAAUAGAGUGACAACCAUAAGCAAGAUGCAUGUUCCAAUGACUUCUCUUUUCAGUCAGAGAUGCAGCCUCCAAGCAAUCUGGAACGUUAUCAUUCCCUCGAGCAUCUAGAUUUCUUUGAAGUUGCCAUCCGUGAUGCCUUUUCAAUGCCUUGCGGAGUUUCAGCUUUGCAGCAAUCCAGCACCUCAAUCCACAAGCUUGCGUUCUGAAACUUGGAGCAGGUCUUGCAACCUAUGUAAAGAAGCAUCAAGUAGAAAGAUCAAUAGAUGAAUAUAGCAAUGUGUAACUACCAAAUAAUGUAAGCUAAGAAACUCCAUCCCGUCAUCAAUGCCUAAUAAAUCGGAUGUGAUAAAUUUGUCUGUCAGCCACCGAAUGCAAAGCAAUUUUUGCAAGACUUCAAUUGGCCAAUGGUGGGGAAAGGGAGACAAGUUUUUUAUUCAUGUACUGCACAACGUAAACAAACAUAGCAUUCAAACCAACAAACAAUCUGCCCCUGUGUAAUGGAUUGACUAUUGAUGCAACAACAAUUCCAUCAACCAAGCGUGUGCGGUUCAUAUCAAACCAGCACACCUUUUUAUGUGUACCACAUUUCUCGAAUAUCCAAACAGGAGCAUGUUGAUACGUCACACGUUCAAUUCAAUGUGGCCUAGGGCUGAAAAAAAGCUUGAGGUUCGCGAGCCGGCUCGAGCUCGGCUUAGAGCGACUUGCGAGCCGAGCCAGGCCAGGUUUUCAAGCUCGUUGGUCCAACGAGUCGAGCCAAGAGCCGAGCCCGUCGUUCCGGCUUGCGAGCCGGCUUGCUGGCUAUACAAAAUUAAUCAACCAAUAUAAUAAUGAUAGAUAUUAGAUAAUUUUAUAGCUAUCUGACUCAUUCCUUAGCCUUUGACGAUGAAUAUAAGACAAUUUAUAAUUUAGAUUACUUAUAGUGUUAAAUGAUAAUUAUAAUUUUCAUAUUUAUAUACUAUUAAGUCAUUAUAUAAUGCAAUUUUAUUUAUUAGGGUGCAGCUCGUAAGCCAUACUUCGAGCCAAGACUCCUUCAGCUCGUUGAGUGGGCGAGCUGCCCUAAUGCGGCCCCCCAACACACACACACACCACCUCCGGCACCGGGGAGGGAAGGAAAUAAAACAGCAUCAUAUGGAACCCGUGGCGAAAACGCGAUCAUGGAUGAUGCUAUAAACUUGCGUUGCAGAGCCAAGAAGGGCAGAAAGGUUCACUAGGAUCACAAGCUGGCACUGGCAAAGCAAAGCCUCGCCAUCCCACUCCGUGAAUCUGCAACGGGCACGUAUUGCUCCAGAACGCUACCGCACCAGCGGCAUGCGAAUUGGUUGAUGCAUUUCAUCGAGCAAGCUAAGCGCGCAGCGCCGGAAGGAAAGAAAACCAGCACUUCUGCAUCCUAGCACCGACCAGGGAUACAGCACCACAGCCGCUCGUGGCGAGUACUCACCGGGGUUAAGCGCGAGGUCGCCAACGAGAACGGCGCCGGAGCUGCGGACGCCGACGCGGCGAGCCCUGGCAUCUUCGGCGCUGUUCGACUGCUUGGUGCUGCGGUACUUGCUGACUUGGCUGCUCCCUCCGUCAGAUCGCCUCGACCAAUACUGGGAACCAGGAAGUGAAGAAGACUUAAUUGCUCAUGGCAGCUCGUGACGGGGAAAAUGGAUAGCGACAGUGUAGCGAGGCUGGGGCCGCCGUCGAAGUUGAACCGCUGUAGCUUUACAUUACACGUCGACGACGUCGUGUAUAGAGCAAUUGAUGGAAUUCUUGGCUAACCGCCAGGAGCCCAGGAUGCUUUACCAGAAUUUGAUGGAAAAUACCGGAAUUCCCCAGGAAUCGAAAGCAUAUGCACUUCUUCGAUGCGUUAGAAAAAGUUCGAAUUUUGCCUAGAUAACUUGUGAAAGAAAUGUUUACAGAAUCCUCAGUCAAAAUGUGUACUAAAUUUUAAUGUCACAGAAUUCAUCCUAAAAAAUGCAUAGCAAAUGUUACCAUCAUAACCGUAGCACGUUCAAUUCAAUGUAUCACUGUUUACAGAGUAGAGCUUAAUAUGAGACUUGCUAGAGAUAGUCCAGGGAGCUCCUAGAAGCACAAUCCCCGAUAGCCUCUGGUGAAUCCCUACAUCUCUCCUGAAUCUUUCUUUGUUCUAUAUACCCCAAAAAAGGCACUUACAACCGAAUAUUCAAAGCAACAUAACAAUCUAUAACAAUCUUCUGCUGCUCGUUUCCAACCAAUAUAGAUUCUGGAUAUCCUUCCAGGCUUCCAGCACUUAUGUACUUCUAUUUUUAUUGCUAAUACAAUUGUACAAUAUGCCAAUAACAAAUUCAUGAUAACUUACAAGUUAAUCCAAGCUUUUCCCUAAAUUGUACAACACUGGAGCACAAUAUGAGACCAGAAGAUGUUAAUACAACUUGUACAGAGAGGACUGAUCCUCCAGUCAUCUGCAAAUGCUUUGCGAGUUUGCAGCCAGCAGUCCCACAUUCACAGAUCAGUUCAUCGAGUGACCCCAACGGGGGUGAUGUUACUCUCGUGGCCUAGCAAGCCAAAGAGAACUCAGUGCGCGCAAACGUGAAAAGUAGUCAUGGAUUGCAAGAAGCGCACGAGCAGCUUGUCGGAUUGUCAGGAUACGUUGCAUCUGAUGUAAGGUCUGCUGUCGUAGAUUGUCAGCCUAACGAUAAUAGAACACCAAAAGUCUUCAGAGCUAGGAACACCAAGAGCUACAUACAUAUAUUUCUUAAAAGUAGAGAAAAUGUAUCGAAUCAAAUGACAUGAUCUCCCUAUGACAGUCAACAACAGAAACAACAAAACUAAAUGUUUGCCAGGGUUGGAGGUAUCUGAAAAGUUUACCUGGCGAAGGAAAUUCUCGAGUGUGCCAAGUUUUCCCAUGGCCAUAGCCAUUUGACCCAUAUAGUUUGCCACGUUUCCAGAAGAUCCUGAUGGACCAAGGGACCCAGCCAGCGUUUCUGCCAAGGACUGCUGCAAUGCUUCCAUUCCUUGUGACAAUGCAUCCUCAGCCUGCUGAGAAGAUUGCUGCAGAUUGGACAGCCCCAUCAAUUGCUGCUCAGUUAGAGGCUCAAGCUGAUUCACAAGGAGCUGCAAUUUUACAAAAGUGUAAGGAAUAGUUCAUCUUGAAGCAGAAACAUCCAUUGAAUGGUACGGAUUAUAAAAUAAAAUAAAAAUUCACGCCCUACUAAGGAAAAUACUCCUGCAAUAGGCUAUAAAUGUAAGUUGUUUUGGGCAUCUACACAGCACUCUUGUCAAGGAAAAUAUAUUACAGUUACAAACUGGUAAAAGCCAUUGGAUGUGACAACAGCAUGCAGGACCUUAAGAUUCAUGUCAUCAUGUCAUUGGUACAUUGGGGGAUACCUUGUAAAUUACAGUCCUGACAUCUGUAAUGAUAUUGAAUAAUACCAAAAAGAAGUGGACAACUGGACAUUAUGGAAGUAGUUGCACUGAUAUAUAGGUGAUAACAGCCCUUACAAAUUGGUGGUGGUGGUGAUGUGUGUGUGUUGCGGUGGUGAUGUGUGUGUGCGUUGAGGUGGUGAUUAUGGUGUGUGGGGUGUCAGUCAUUUUGAGGCAGGUACCAAGACUAUUUGAAAUCAAAGGUGGUUUCAUAUAACUUGAUCUAUAUCAUAUGCAUGCACCUUUAGAAGCUCAGACGAACGGAAACCCCCAAGCCACAAGAAGCACCUUUCAGCAGAUGUUUUCCACAUGCCUGAAAGUAUAUGGAACACAUCAGCCUUUGCAGCAAUGCCCUUCAGCCUGAAUAUCUCGUCAUAAUGUGCCAUUAUCCCAUCGACUAUAAGACGGAGGUCACUAUCACUUGCAUGAGCAUUUACUGCAGUCCUCAGCUCAUUUAUCUGCUUAUUUUGUUCCUCUUGCCAUCGAGAAUAUUCUAAAUCGAAGGUCAUAGCUCCUGCAGAGAUGAGCUUACUUCGUCAGCUAUAAUCCUUUGAAGCACUUGAGCAUUACAAUGAUGUAAGGUUGCAAAAAGCAAUUACAGAAAGGAUGUGUGGGGGUGUGCAUGAGAGAGAGAGAAAUUUUACCAUUUCCACUCAUAGUAUGAGUUUGAUCUCCAGAACUAGAAAUGAAGAUUCCCUACAAUUAAUAUCCAAGCAAUAAAAUUAAAAGAACCAUUUGAGACCUGUCAGCAAAAAAAGUGUCCCCAGUAUCAACCAAAUAAACACACCUGCUGUCGAGCUUUCUGGAGUUCUUGCUCCAGGCUUGCAAGUUUUAGCUUACUGCUCUCUAGCUGUUGCACAUAUGCCUUUGAAAACAAUAAAUAUUAGAAAGGGCUUUUAGCAAAUAAAUAAACCUGAAAGUGAACAAAGAAAAACUAUUGGACACACUUCAAUCUACAUAAUCCGAACUUCCGAAGUUCUAAAUCAUACACACUUGCAGGCUAUCCAAGUAACUGCAUCACCAUACAGUACUAUCUCCCUGAUGCACGAAAUCAAACUUAUACAUACUACACAAUCACAAACCAUGGGAUGACAGGAAUUGACACUGACUUGGGCUCACAUCUCUCUACAUAACACAUUACCACCCAGCAUCUGUGUUGUGUGCAUUUGUAGAAAAAACCAAUAUGGACUUCUCUUUUUUUCCUUGAACGGACAGGAGAGCUCUGUAUCAUUAUAUUAAAGGCAGAGUUCUUAUUUUCCACAAAGUUACUUAAGUUAUUCUUAGACGCAGAGUUGUUUUUCGUAGAAGCUCAUGAAAAUGUGAAAGCAUAUAAAUAGUGGUAAAAUAAAUGUGGUAUCACAUACGGCGCACGUAAAUUGGUACAAUUUAGGCGAUUUCAAAAAUUAGACUUAUAUAGGUGUCAACGUUCAAGAGUUAAUGUAUCAAUCUGAUGAAACCUAAUUAUUUGCCUAAUUUUGUAAGGUGAACAUUAGGGUAUGUAGUUGACAGGGACAGAUUAAAGCUCAAGUAGAAUGGACCAUGGUUUGCUUCACCCCUGAUGACAACUAGGCAGAUAAACCUCAGUCCUGAUUCACACUAGUGCACAUACAUGCAUGCAUCAGGGAGUGACACACUGCACCAAAAAUGUAGGAAUAGAUCCCAGGUGUACACAGUCAUGCUAAUAAUACCUUUUUCCUCAGCCGGCUUUUUCUUGCUGCCUCACGAUUUUGGGCAAGCCGUCGUAAAACCUAAAGAAUACCAAAUGCAUCAUCUAGAUACCAUCAUUGUGAAAUGGUAACAAACACUAAAGAGUACAGAGAGAUAGGAGACAAAAUUAAUACCUUCUGGUCCAUAGGUUUGUCAGAUCUGUCAGACCGGUCAGAUGAAUUAGAAGCCGGGACCAUGGCUCCACUCUGUCCGUUUUCUAACUGCACAGGCCAGUUAAGAUAAGUUGCAGAAAUUCAUUGUUUAUGCAUGAAACUAUAACGUAAAGGAAAAAUAGCAUGAAAUGGUAUAUAGAUGGUCGUUUUUUUAAUUGGAAUACAUAGAUCAUAGAUGAGUGGAAUAAGUAACAUACAAUAACAUCACAAUGACAUUACCACUUUACAUGCAUCUCUCCAAGACCUGUACCAUUAGAUGUCCCACAGAGAGAAGUUGAAAUUUCGUAAAAUAAUCUGACACAAGUAACUAAAAUUAGGAGAUUGUCCAUUGUACCUCCAAAGGCCCCAAGGCCAAAAUCAAAAUUUUCUAUCAACUAGUAAUCAAUUUUCUUCACAGAAUUCAAACGUAAAAUAGGCAAGGAUGUGCUUAGUGUGAACAAAAGUUGCAACAUCAUUUAAUGCUUGCAAACUCAAAAGCAAAUCUAACAAAUUUGGAGCUACAUGCAAACAACUUGUUGCCAAACCAUAAUACAAGAUCAGUAACAGAUGAAACAGAUAAAAAGCAAGAACAGGAAGAAGGAAAAUACAAGAAAAAUAACUUGUUUCCUAUGGAUUUAGACCAUCUCAAAUCACCAAGUGGCUUAUAGGGGUUAAUCCAUCCAUACAACAUCCUUAUUGUCAUGGGGCGGCAGCCCAGGGCAUGGAGGCCCAUAGGGAUAGGCUCAGGGUUAGGAUUAGUUGAUAAAGAUUAGAUUAGAUAAGAUUGAGUUAGUUACUUGGGAUUAGAUUAUAUAAGAUUGAGUUAGUUACUUGGGGGCCAAGUCUUUCUAUCUAUGUAAGGAUGGGUUGUACCUCCUCAAGGGGGAUCAAUCAAUGAAGAAUUAGUCCCAGAUCUCUCUAAUACUCUAGUCCCACCCACCCCCAAGCCAACUCCGUCCGGCUAUCUUCCUGGCGCUGUUUAUCCCGUUAUGAACUAGGAUUCAUAACAUCUUGUAUCAUGAGUCAAGGAUCCUUUACUGUGACUUCUGCUGCGGACGAUGUACGUACUUGGCGUGAGGAGCUCGCUCGUGCCAGGGCAAAUCUGGAGCAGGCCCGAUCUGCUAUCCUCCAGUUCCGUGAUCUACUUGCGGCAAAGGUGGAGUCUGACCGCCGAUCAGCGGCGACAACACGACUGCACGUGGCUUCCUGGUGCGGGGGUCCAGUGCGGCAAGUUGCGGCAGCGACGCGGCUGCAGGCAGCGGCUUGCUGUCUUCAGGCUGCGGCACGUGGAGUCAAGCACGGCAAGCGGCAGCGCGGCUGCAGGCAUUGGCUUGUCGUCUUCAGGCUGCGGCACGUGGCUUCCUAGCGCGGCGUCAAGCACGGCAAGCGGCGGCGCGGCUGCAGGCUACAGUUCGUUGUUCCCUGGCACAGCGACUUGCAUCGAUAUUGCGUGUCCAACAACACGCGACACAUAGGGCGGCAAGGCCUUCAGCAGGGUUGGCCGAUCCUGCACUCCAGCUCACCGUCCUGAUCCAUAGCCAUGUGGACAGCAAGAAUACGCCUGUUUGGGUGGCUGUCUCCACUGGAAGUCUGGAACUCGCGGUAGCUCAGGCCGUAGGACUGGUGAGCUGCCACGUCCGUGCCUUUGCAGCCUGGACGAGGUUGUUCCCAUGGCAUCCAGGGGGCCAACCUUGGCAUAUGUUAGGUUCUUUAUUUUAUUUGCAAAUAAAUUAAAAUCGAGAUGUAAAAGGCUUGUAGUUAGGGUUGCACUUUCACAUGCAUAUCAAGUUAGACAGCAAGGCUGUUACCAUGCACCCCAUUACAGCUCGAGGACGAGCUGUCUUCAAAGGGUGGGGGAAUGUAAUGGGGCGGCAGCCUAGGACAUGGAGGCCCAUAGGGAUAGGCUCAGGGUUAAGAUUAGUGGAUAAAGUUUAGAUUAGAUAAAAUUGAGUUAGUUACUUGGGAUUAGAUUAGAUUAGAUAAGAUUAAGUUAGUUACUUGGGGGCCAAGUCUUCCUAUCUAUAUAAGGAUGGGUUGUACCUCCUUAAGGGGGAAUCAAUCAAUGAAGAAGAAUUAGUCGCGGAUCUCUCUAAUAAUCUAGCCCCCCCCCCCCCCCCAAGCCAACUCCACCCGGCUAUCUUCCCCACGUUGUUUAUCCCGUUAUGAACUAGGAUUCAUAACACUUACUUUAGUCAAAGUUUCAUUUAUAGAGAUUAAUAAUAUUCAAGUGUUCAUACUUUAAGGCACUUCAAGUGAAACUUCCCACUUCAUGAGACCAAUAACACAGAUUGCCAAAUUUAAAGGCUGAUAUCUAAUCUGUAUCUAUUUCGUUUGACGUGAGAGCGCAAUGUUCUGAAAAUGAUUAAACAGACAUGGCAAAAAAAGUUAUGUGCAUCAGAGAACAUGAGCUCAACACAUCAUUUAUUGGACUUCGCAUCCUAUUAGACUACUAGAAAGAUCAGAGUCAAGGCACAGUACCAACAUUAUGCUAUCAUCCCCUAACAGUUCACGAAUGAUCAAUCAUAAAGAACACAACAUAUAACAGAUGGAGAAAAGAGGGGCUACCCUUUGAUUCUUAUCAUCCAUGUCUACAACAGUCGAGGUGUCAGUCCUCGAACUAGCAUCUGCCAUGCCGAGUGCUCGCCAGCUCCUAAGAAUGAGACAACAAAUUGCUUUGUUGUCUCUUUUUCACUUUCCUUAUGAUAGGCUGACAAGCCAGCCUGCAGUUAGCACAACCCACAAUCCAGUGAUCCACCCACUGGACAGAGAAGCAACCUAUCCAUUACAAGAAACAAAUUUCCAGGUACAUCAGCAGCAUAAUAAAUGAUAUAAAGGUACAGAUGGCAAAAAUGAUAGUCCAUCUAAGCACUGGUGUAUUGCUAACUUUAUCAAAAACAGCAAAUGGUCAGAGUUAACUGCAUGUUCCCAUCCUGGAAAGAUUAAGAAAAUGCAUCUAGCUGCAGUUAACUGAGAAUCAUGGUGGUGACACCUUCCCAAAUGCCACCUCCUGUCAAUAGCAUCUUGUAAUUCCAAAGAGGCAAAGACAAUAGGUACAGCACCACAUCAUGUGGACGCAUGGCAUGCAAAACAACAACAAUGUUUUUUUAGUUUCAAACGUUAAUUACUAGGCAUAGUCCUAAAUUUCCCAGCUCAUGCGAUUAUGCCCCAGCUUGCUGAAAGCAAAGGACAUCCUAAAAAAUCAUAACCACGAGUUCAAUCAUCGAUGAGUAUAGCUACAGUAAAUUUGGCAAUAAGUCAAUAACCCAUUCACUCACACAAGAAAUAUACAAGAUCAGAAAGUGCUAAUAAAUUAGAGGAAGCACAUAGAAUACAGGUGAUCAAGAGAACAAGGGUCUGAGGGAGGAGCUCAGGCAGCUCAUGCAGGUUCGAAGGAGGUAGCCUGGAAGCCGACAGAGCAGCUUUCAUUAAUUCAGCUCGUAACGGGAAGCCGAAGUGAUGAGACACCUCCCAAAUGAUAUUGCCUUAUAGUAGCGCCAAGCUCUCCAAAGCAAGUACGAAACGAGGACAACAGGGCAACACAGUGACACAGGGCAGGGGACGACUCGGAUGUGGGGUAUGGGGUUUGAAUUCCAAAUUUCUCCGUAUUUCAGAAAAAUAAAUGCCCGCGCACCUCGGCUACCACGAAUCGUUGUGUUGUGUAAACUGAUAUUGAUCUUUCGCUAUGGAGUAGAAGAACCUAAUCGAACCGUGCAUGGAUAGAUUAUCACGCUAGGCUGCUACUGCUCUCAGACAACAAAUCAGUAACAAACUGAACACUCGGAAUCGGAAUCCUUCCCUACAGCAAACAAAAGAAGCUCCUAAGAGUUAAAAGAAUCAACCCAGCAGCUAGGGUUACUUACCGAGAUGAAGAAAUCGAACCAGGUCCGGAUGGAUCUCCACUCCGCGCAAGUCCACUGCCAGCAGAGGAGGGCGAGGAGCAGGUGAGCAAGUGCUCUCUACGAGAGACGACUUUCGGAGCGAAGGGCCUGGCUUAGUUUAUCUGGUCGCCGGCGGUUAGGUCGCCGAUGACGAGGCACCAAAAGCUGUGAUGGGGUGAAGCAAAGCAAGUUCUAGGCAGGGAAGGGAUGGAAUUAAGGCAGAAAUCAGCGAAGACGAGUAGCAAAGAGUAGGAAGAGCUGGAAGAAGGCUGCACGGGGAUUUCUCCCGCACAGUGGAUCGGGAAAGCCGCCACCGCUCCGUGACAUCACACCGUGGACUCACACGCGAUGGUGGGGGAAGGAAAGCCGCUGCAGGCUGCAGCAGCAGAGCACGUCUCCUCGCCUUCCUCGUUUGCUGGUUUCACAAAAACAAUUUCUG
rnacentral:lncRNA from 1 species